rnacentral:lncRNA from 1 species
AUAACUGUAUGGCUAAGCAAUCUAUGCAAUUUUAUCUUGUCGUAUGUUUGAGCUCAUUUUUUGUUGCAAUUCUGAAUAUUUGGUAUGAAUUAUGUGAUACCGGACAAUACUGUUAACUUGUUCAUUUCUUAAUUUUAAUAUCUUGUCAAAGUCACUAAUAGCAUUUCAUCAUGCUAUGAGUUAAACAUGGAACAAAUGACGACAUGCAGUUGUGGAAUGUGGUAGAUCUCUGGAAUUCUAUGUCCUUAUGCUUGUAGGGCAACACAAUACAUUAGUUAAAACAUUAAAGACUAUGAUGUCCGCAGAAAAUUAUAUGUCAACAUAUGCACCAGGCAUGAUGAAAUUAGCCAAAGACAGUGCUUGGAAACAAUUAACUAACUUUUGGCAUUAGGCGUAUCAAGUUCAAUUCGGUAUUUCACAAAACUUAAACUAACUUAUUCCUAAUUAUAGUGGACACAAUUAACUAACUUUGGCAACUGUUCUGAAGAGGAUGACUUCUUCAGGAUGACAUCAACUACCAGCGAUGAUACUAUCAGUAAGCUGCUUCUGCUAUCUAUUAAAUAUUACUGCUAAACGUAAUAUUGACAAUUUGUCUGUGUGCAGGCCUGUGAUAACCACUUGGAUCGGAUAAAGGACUGGGACAUCAACAAUUUGCCCAGAAACCAAUAAGAUAUCAUUGUAAUGUUUAAUUAUACAUGUAUUAGUUUCUCUUUGGAUGGUGCUCUUUGUUAUGCAAAAGUAUGGCGACUAUGUUUCAACCAGUGUAUCUAUUAUAUACACUAACUAUGAAUUACUAGAAAUUUUAUUACAUUAAUCAUUUUUAGAUAGCCACUCAUCUCAAACGAAACAAACUGGUCAGAGACACUUGACCCAACAUGCUUGUGAUCGACCUUAGAAUAAAUUUUUCUCACUCAAUAUAGACAACUUCUGUGAGGUUAAUAUUUCUUCAAAUGUCAAGAAAAGCAUUGGCCACAUGAAUGCAUACACAUGUUUUUGUUGGGAAGUUAAGCAGACGGGAACAACAUUGGGCUAUAUACACCAUUACCUUAAAUGAAGCAAAAAUAUCUUGUGCUUAUCAAAGUUUGAAACUAAUUCUGUGCUUAUCAAGAAUCUAUUAAUAACACAUUAUACUCAUACACCAAACUUUAAUCUGAAUGAAUCAAGUAAUUCUAUGUUAAUCAAAGUUUUUAGACUUAUACGAUGAGGGUCUAGUUUAUAAAAAUGCAAAUAUCACUGAAAUCUGAUAAUCCUUUACAAACAAAUAUGAUUUAUUCAAUUAUCGCAAACAAUUAUUUUAUCAAAGUUAAUUACAUUAUUGCUAAACUUGUAUAAGCUUUCCUGUUUCAAACAUAUCUACUUAAUUACAUUAUUCAUCGACAGUGUUACUUUGCUUGUAGAAGUUUCAUUUUUUCAUACCUUAAUCACUAUUUAACGCUUCGUUUUCCAAUAGUUAUAAUUCUUCAAAUUUUGGUUUUAUCCUUCCAUAAUUAUAAAUUGAUACUGAUUCGCACGACUCAAAAAAAAGUGGUCAAUUACUCUAAAAGUAUAAAUCUGGCAAUCAAUAAUUACUUAAAAAUAAUUGCAAAAAAAAAUUAAUAAGGAAUAGUAUAAAUUUAAAAACCGCUAAAGUUACGAGAUCCAUGCUUGAUAUUUAAAUCAUGGUCAUAAUACUCUCUCACACACACACAUAUAUAUGUAACCACUUUUAAUAUUAUGUGACUUAGUUCUUAAUUAACCACUCUAUAAAUAAAUAUGAGAAUUAAGUACAUAUUAUGCCACAACUUUAUUGGAGUGUUCCCACUACCAUAUUAGUAGUCAACAUUAAGUCUAAACAUCCACAUAAUAUUUUUGGUGAACUUGCAACCACAACCUUUAAAUGACCUUUGAUAAUACAAAUACAAUCCAAGGGGUCCAAAAUUGCAAGUAUUGUCAUGCAUAAUAAAACAGUUCAUUCAACAUAAUCAAUGGCUAUAAAGAAGUCAAAUCGGGAUCCUCCAUUGGAUUUUUUUUUUUAAUUAUUCAAGGUGGUUGAAUCACUAUAUUGAUAAGUAUUAAAUUUACUUAAUUUAGUAUAAAGAGGACACACAUCAACUUUUCAGAAUUAAUGUUAGAUAAAACGGCUACCAAUAUUUUUGUAAAAAUUAAAAUUAAAAUUUUUACUUUUAUUUAAUAUAUACUUUCUAGUAUUAAUCAUUGAUGAACAAUUUUUUAUUUCAUCGCCGUCUAGAUUGCUUUUAUCUUAUACAAAUUUGUUUAAAACGUUUAAAUAGUUUCUAACCACUAUAUAGUUUUAUAUGUCCUUAAUCUUGUUAUCGACAACUGACCAACAUAUUGUUACCUACCAUUAUAGUUGUGUAAUUUACCUUUUGUUAACUGACUUCACCAAUAUAUUUUAAAAGAAACGUGGCCAUCUGUUGCUCGUUGGAUCACUUGCUUUUAAAUCCAAUAAUUCCAUGAGAUAAAGACAAAACGCAUGCUAUAAUGCUACGGUUACAACAUAGACGUGGCCGGAGAGGUAAAAAAAAAAAAAAAUGUAUUUGUUUAGUAACUGUACACUUUUUCAUUCAUUUUGUCCACUUCCAAAUCCUCCAGAGAAACAACGCAAAUAAAAAAGAUAUUUAAGAAAUUUGAUGCCUUGUUCGCCGAAUCUCUCCAUUUUUAAAUAGUGUCGUGAUCCUGAACAUGUGAUAUGGCGCCUAUGUUACAUUUGAGUCGGACCAUUAGCAUUCCUCCAAAAUCUUAUUCAAAUUCUUUUUUUAAUUAUAUUUUAUUUAAUAUUAAAAAUAUUUUUUUUUACUCUUUCAGUCUUAAUAUUUAUAUUUUUCUCUUUAAUUUUUUUAUUAUUUAAUUUUUAAAGAAAAUAUCUAAAAAAAGUAAGAAAAACAUUAUAUUUAAAAAAUAAUGAAUAUUUUAUGGAUUUAAUACAAUUUUAUCCUACUUAUAAAUUUUGAGUUUAUUGGGUUCAACAAUUAGUUUGAGAAUCCUUAAAAAAUUAGUUGCAUUAUUUAAUUUGUUUUUACCCUAUGUUGUAUCUUAAUUAAAUUAUUAUAUUUAUUACAAGAAUUUUAUUUUGGCUUAGAGGAUUACUUCUUAAAUUCAAAUUAUUUUAAUGAUAACAAAAAAUUUAUAUUGUGCAAGCAAAAUAAAAUUGAGAAGAGAAAGAAAAUAUAAAUGGUUUAAUUCUAUUUAUAUUUAUCCUUAAAAUAUAAUUGUAAUGUAAAAAGAAUUUUAUGAGAUUAAUGAAGGGGUGCCGAUAGUCGAACUCAUUAUAAUUUUUGUAACAAACAAUUCAAGAAUAUGUUUGGACCGAAAUUCACAAUUUUCACCACAUGAUUUAAAGCACACAUAAUUCAUAAUUUUCUCCACAUAAUUUAAAACCAACCCUCUUUCUGGACUCCACUUUUGAGAAGGACGUUACCCACCAAUACGAGUAACCAAAAAAAAAAAAAAAAGGAACCCUCUUUCCCCCUCUGCUUUUAUUCUCAAUCUCUUUGUCACUUUGUUUUUUUUUUUCCUCCUCUCUCCAUGAUAUUUAAAUGAUUGUAAAUAUUUCUUUCAUUUUAUAAAUUAUUUUCAAAUUUUUUAUUGUACUUAGUUAUUUUUUAAUAAAAUUUUUAAAAUUAAAUAAAUUAUUUUAUUUCUACUAAUAAAAUUUUAAAUUUUUAAAAGUAGAGAUUAAAUUUUUUACGAUAUUAAAAUAUUUAAAAUAUCUUUUAGAUAUUUAACAAUUUUAUUUUUAUUAAAUAAUUUUAAAAUUUUAUUUAUUAAAAUAAUUUUAUAAUUUUUAAUAAAAAAAUUUAUUAAUAAAAAUGUUUUAAAUAAAUUUUAUUUAAAAUUUUAUACCAAAUGAAUCAUAAGGCAAAAACACUGCACUUACCUAUCCAUACUGAUUAAACCCCCUCGCCGACACCUCUGCUCUCACCAUCAAGCAUCAACACUUAAUAAUGACAAUUAUUUGUGUUAGCAUUUUGGUCAAAAGUUGGACCCCCCCCCCCCCCCCAAAAAAAAAAAACAAAAAAUUUUUAUGAUAAUAAUUAACAAUCAUAAAUAAAAAUUAGGGAAAAUGACAUUCAACCCACAACGUUUAAGAAAAUGGAUAAAAAAAUCCUCUUCAACGUUUUAAAAAGGAUUUAUAAUCCCCUUUCAGUUAAUAAAUACCGUUUGUUUUAACAAUAAAUAUAUUUUUAAUUUUUAAUUUUUAAUUAUUAUUAUACUCUUAUAAUAAAUAAAUUAAUAUAUUAAUUUGAGAUAUAUCACAAUUAACAAAUGUCAUCUAGCUAGCGUGGGUUGGAAUCGUUCUUUUAAGUUUUGACCAAAUCAAUAAAGUAUGGUUUAAAAAAAAAAACUCUCGAUUCUUUAAUCAAAUGUGCAAUAAAUAUUAACUAAUUCACUAGCACUCAUCUCAAACCAAAAUAAACUAAUAAAAAAAUCAUUAAUUUUCAGCACCAAAACGAAGUAUCAUGACAAACAAGAAACAACUCAGCCACCUACAUACCCAAAACCCCAAAAAUCCAAAACUUAUACACCAAGAAGCCCAAAAAAAAGCCGUAUAAUUCUGGUUCAAUAUUUGAACAUAGAUUCUUUUCAUGAUAAUGAAAUCAUUUAUAUUUAUUUUUAUAAUAAAAAAUUACAAAAAGAUAAAAAAGAAAAUUAGCAACUGCACUACGAUGAACAUGGAUACUAACCAAAACUUCUUCCAAAGAACAUGUUAACCUUUAUCUCUCACUAUAAGUGUCGCCGUCAAGUCAAUCUAGUGUAAUGGUUUUGAUUCCUCAAAGAAAAAGGGUUUAAUCAAAUUUCGUUUUAUUAGUAAUAAUCACAUAUGAAAUGUUUGAUCAUUAGAAAGGUAUAAUUUAUAGCAAAUAAUUUGGGCAAAAAUAUAAUUGUAUCUCAAUUUUUAAUUUUAAAAAAAUUAUUAAUUGUGACAUGUCUCAAAUCAAUAUAUUAAUUUAUAUUUAUUAUAAAGGUAUAAUAGUAAUUAAAAAUUAAAAAUAAAUUUACUAUUAAAAUAAACGGUGUUUGUUAACGAAAAAGAAAUUAUAAGUUUUUUUUUAAAACGUUGAGAAGUUUUUUAUCUCUUUUUUUAAAAGUUGCCUUUUCCCUAAAAAUUAAUAAUGGGUGUGUUAGCAUUUUGGUCAAAAGCCGAUUUGGCCUUCACAUUAAUUGGAAUUUUGGAUCUAUAAUAUGAUUUUCACCGAAAAGAUAAUUUUGCCGCUAAUUAUUUGGGUAGUCAGAUAAUAAUAAUAAUAAAAUGUUAGUUUCUCUUCUUCAUUUUUUUUCCCCUUUGAAGUCUUUCAACAAAAAUGGGUGGCAUCAUCUCAACCUUCUUCUCAGCGGACACAAUUCGUCCAAUUUUAUUUUACGUCGGUGGACAAGCAAAGAAUAUAUGGGGUCUUAAAGGUAAUCUCGAUGACUUGCAAACUGAAACGGAGAACUUGAUUGCGAAAAAACAAGAUCUGCUGAAUAAGGUUAGGCUUGCUGAACAAACACAGCCUCGUGGCCAACGGACGAGCACGGUGAAACUCUGGUUCGAAAGGGUGGAUCGAAGUGUAACUCUUGUUGAGGGGCUGCAACAAGAAAGAGAUCAAGAGAUUGACAGAUUGUGUCUUGGAGGCUUCUGUUCCAAGGACUUGAUUUCAAGCUACGACUUCGGCAAAAAGGUGGAGAAGUUGAAGGAAGAAGUAAUCAAAUUGAGAGAAAAAGGAGAAGCGAUGAAAGAAGUUUAUGAGGGGGUACCGGAAGGUGCAGCGGUUGCAAUAGCUGUUGACCGAACAAUUGUUGGUCAAGAAUCAAUACUUGACCAAGUUUGGAGAUGCAUCACUGAUCAAAAAAAGAAUAAUGGAAUUAUUGGCUUAUAUGGUAUGGGGGGCAUUGGCAAAACUACUCUGUUAAAACAAGUCAAUAACAAAUUCUGCAGUGAGGAGCAUGAUUUUGAUGUCGUUAUCUGGUCGGUUGUAUCUAGAGAGCCAAACUUGAAUCAGAUUCAAGAGGAUAUUGGCAAAAGGAUAGGCUUCUCAACAGAUUCAUGGGAGAGAAAAAGUUUUGAAGAAAGGGCUUCAGACAUCACCAAUACUUUAAAGCAUAAGAAGUUUCUAUUGUUAUUGGAUGAUAUAUGGGAGUCCGAAAUUGAUUUAACCAAAUUGGGCGUCCCUCUUCAGACACUAGAUUCUGGGUCCAGAAUAGUCUUCACAACUCGUUUUGAGGGUACUUGUGGUAAAAUGGGAGCCCAUAAGAAUCGGUACAAAGUGUUUUGUUUGGGAGAUGAGGAUGCCUGGAAAUUAUUUGAGGGGGUGGUCGGGAGAUACGUUCUUAACAAGCAUCCCGACAUUCCGAAGUUAGCUGAGGAUGUGGCACGUCAGUGUCAUGGUUUGCCGCUAGCACUCAAAACAGUAGGUAAUGCCAUGGCGAGCAAAGAGUACCCUGAAGAAUGGAAAGAAGCAAUUGAGAUCCUAAGCGAAUCAGCUUCUAAAUUCGAAGGUAUGGAGAAAAAGGUGCUUUCGAGCUUAAAGUUCAGCUAUGACAGUUUGCCGAAAGAUGAACUUCGAUCUUGUCUCCUGUACUAUUGUUUAUUUCCCGAAGACUCUGAAAUUGAAAAAACCGAGUUGAUAGAGUAUUGGAAAAGUGAAGGAUUUGUGGAUUCCAGCAGCGGGUGGGGGGUUCUUGGUGCUCUCGUUCGGGCAUGCUUAUUGGAGGAAGCAGGUGAUCGUGUAAAAAUGCACGAUAUGAUCCGUGACAUGGCAUUAUGGAUAGCAAAUGAAGUAGAGGAGGAGGAGGAGAACUUUUUGGUUCGUGCAGGAGUUGGAUUAACUGACGCCCCAAAGAUUGAAGAAUGGGAAGGGAUCAAAAGGAUAUCCUUGAUGAGGAACAAAAUUCGAAGUCUACCACAAAUUCCCACUUGUCCGCGUCUGCAAACAUUGCUUCUGGCGAGUAAUCGUAUUAAGGAGAUCACUGAGAGUUUCUUUCAAUCUUUGCCUUUGCUUAGAGUUUUGAAUCUAAGUGAAAAUCAUUACCUAACUGAACUACCUGUAGGGAUUUCAAGAUUGGUUUCAUUACACCAUCUUGAUCUGUCUUUUACUGAAGUGCGUGGGUUGCCGCAAGAGCUCAAGGCAUUGGUGAAUCUGAGAUAUUUGAACUUGGAGUAUACAAGUGAAAUGUCUAGAAUUCCAGAGCAAUUAAUAUCAAGCUUUUCGAAGUUACAGGUACUCAGGAUGCUGUAUUGCGGUCCACGUCUCCAGCCAAUAGUGGAAGAAGGCAACGUUCUAUCUGCUGAUGCUGAAUCAUUGAUGAAGGAAAUCCACUGUUUGGAACAAUUAAAUCUCAUCACCUUGUCCUUACAUGGUUCGCGUGGUGUUGAAAACUUUCUGAAAUUCCCAAAGCUGCAGAAUAUCACUCAAGCUCUGCACAUCGAAGACUGCAACAGUCUACCGCUCAAUUUGUUGCAUCUAGCAAACAUGGAGCAUCUUGAGAAGUUAUUUAUCGAGGAUAGUAAUUUGGAAGACUGGAAUGUCGACUGCGCGGGAGAGGUACAAAAAAUGCGUAAACUUCACUUUGUUUCAAUAUACGAAUGCUCAAAUGUGAAGGACUUAACGUGGCUUGUUUUUGUUCCAAAUCUCAAGUGGCUGCGAAUAUUUGAUUGUGAUGACAUGGAAGAAAUAAUCAGUGUUGAAAAUUUUGAAAAAUUGAGUGAAGUUUCAGAGAUGAUGGGAGAGCUUAACUUGUUCUCGGAACUCGAAUCUCUGAAUCUAGGAUAUGCAAGUAAUUUGAAGCGCAUCUACCGCGAUCCCUUGCCCUUUCCACAGCUGGAGCAAAUUUACAUAUCGAAAUGCCCAAAGUUGAAGAAGCUCCCGCUCAAUUCCAGCAGCGCAAAGGGACGUAAAAUUGUCAUUUACGGGGAGAAAGAAUGGUGGGAAGAGCUACAAUGGGAGGAUCAAGCCACUCAAAGUGCUUUCUCUCCCUGUUUGGCUGUUUCGUGCCUUCAUGAAUAAUAAAGUGCAAUAAGGCGCAAAAGUGUGAAUAAAGUUUCUGCGUGUGCUUAAUGAUUAUCUUGUCUAUCCAUUUCAUUUAAUUUAAAAGCUUUCUACGGUGUUGCGUGUGUGUCACUUGUCAUUCUUCUGCACUGCUGUUUCCUAUUUCCAGUUAAUAAAAUUUUUUUGUUCUUAGAAAUGCUUUGCUGGUAAUAUAUUCUAUUUACUUUCCUCCUAUUUUCAUUACAGCUAAUAAUUGCAUAGUUGUAUAAUUUUUUAAUAUUAUCUUUAUUUUUAAAUAUACUUUUAUUUAUAUUUAUUAUAAAUUAAAUAAAUGUAUGAAUAGAAAUUAAAAUGAAAACUAAGUAUUAAAACAAGAAAUAUAUAUUUUGAUUUGAAUAAAAAUAUAAAUAUUUGUUUGUACUUUUUUAUAUAUAUAUUCAAUAUAAGAAAAUAUUUAUAAAAUAAAAAGUGUAAGAAAAAUAUCUUAUUAUUAAUUCUUAUUCACAUCAAAACAUAUAUUUCUUACUUUAAAUACUUAAUUUUUUAUUCAAAUUAUCAUUCAUAUGAUUUAUUUAAUUUAUAAUACAUAUAAAUAAAAAUAAUAUUGUAAAUUAUGUUGUUAGAAAUUAUUAGUUAUUAUAAAAAUAAUAUGGGACAAAUGGUAAAUCGGAGAUAUUGUUUCCUAUUUUCAGCUAAAAAAUUUAUUUGUUCUAAUAAUUGCUUUGCUAGUAAUAAGGCCUGCAAGUUGCUUAACUGAAUAUGACUUCUUUUUUAAAAAUGUUACUAUCAAUUUCGAUGAUUGAUUAUCUCGAAGUAGUGAAAUUUAUGUAAUGUUGGUAUUAAAAAAAUUUGUGCUACUGAUAAAAAAAGUCCAUUGGAUUCGGCCUAAAUGACGGAUCGUGGCUUGAUUUUCUCAUCCCAAAGGCUCUGUAUCUCACUUUCGAAAGUAGUUUUAGCAUAAUGUAGGUGAAAAAUUAAAAUAUUCUGCGAUCUCUAUAUAGCUUUUCCAACAGAUUUCACCCAUUUGACUGUAGACCAAAGCAUCCAUUGGAUCGAUGCAUUUAUUAAGAAGAGGAUCAUUCGGAGCUACAAUUGGAGGAUCGAGUCACGCAAAGAGUUUUCUCUACUUGUUUCGAUCCUAUGGAGAUAGAGUUUUCAUAGAUUGAUGGUAGGAGCUUUUUUGUCAAUUUAUGUAUCUAAUUGUGUGUAACAUGCUUUCUUGUCUUUCAUAUCAGACAUUGUAAAUUUGUAAUGUUGCCAUUUUCUUUUUCCUAUCAAGAAAGAAAGAGCAUUGCGAGUAGUCUUUCCAAUUUUCACUCCUUUUUGGUAUGUGAAGAAAAAUAAUAAAGCAAAACAAACUAGUGUUGAAGAAAAAGAAAAUGACAAGUUCAAUAGGGCAAAAGUUCACCAUCCCUUUACCAUUUGCUCAAGCAAGUAAGCUUUACGUUUACUUCUUGAGAUUUGAACUAACCAGACAACUUGUAAUGUUACCAUAAAGUUCAAAGAUUAGAAGAGAAAAACUUAUGUCUGUUAGGCACUAUUAUUCAGGCUUAAAUAAUAACAAUAAAAUACUACACCAUGUCUGCUCUCUUUUACUUUUCUUGGUUCUGUUGUAAAAUUCAGUUCUAUUUGAAGGAAAUUAUUAACAUCAAAACUAAAUACUUCGUGAGCAUCUACUGACAACAUACUCCAGAUGACACCAUAACCAUAUCAUAUAAAGCAAGAAAUGUGAAAUAAAUACAAAAUGAAUCAUAGGAGGGAAUUACCACACUCUGCGGUCUCUCCUGCUAAACCCUGCAGUUAGAAUGCCAUUUGUCGUGAGCACCUGAAUCCCCAAAGGACUCCCAGCUUCAAGUGGCUUUGACUUAGCUUGCUUUAGCUCCAUUGCACAUACUCACUCACAUGAAGGAAAUGAACAGAACAAGAAACCUCAUCAUGCCGAAUAUGAUAGAUAUGACAAGGCAUUACACUGUAGGAAGCUCCCGAUUUCUCUACAAAACUCUGCAGGUUCUCCACAAUCAAGGCGUGCUCCAUCUUUAACAGAUCACUUCUACCAUUAAGAGAAGGAAGAGAGUUCCUCUCGUGUGGCAGUAAAUCCUUACUUAACACAGGAUUGAAGCCAACCAAGAACGGAAGGCAAUUUCGUUAGAUUAAGAACCGAAUCACCAUCCAAUAUAGUAGCAUUUGAACCAGAACUCUUGUUAAAUUCUUGAAAUCUCCUGCUUUCAUCAGUCUGUAAGAGAAAUGAAGAUGAGAAUAAUAGCCAGAACCGGAUUAAAUUCAAUCUGGUCUUUUGAAGACUUCUAUAACAACUAAGAGAACCCAGUGUACCGCCUACAGAUACUGUCAGGCUUCUAUCAAAUAUCCCAAACACCAAAAACCAACCCAAUUAAGCUAACAAACCUGCAUGAAUAUCUAAAUUUCAAUGCACGUGAAACAAACUCCGUGUUCAAUCCACCAAAACUAGCAAAUUUCAAACUUUAUCACUCAUCAUUCUCUCUCUGUCAGCUGUAUGAGGCUAUGAGAUCAUGUUAUAAUGUUCAUAUUGAUGCUGAAUGUUUUGCCAGCUUGUCUGAAUUCCAUAAGAGAAUGCAAUGUGCACAUUAUUGUGCCUUGCCCACCAUUAGAUUCUAAACCACAAAAUCAUUGUGUGAAGUAGCUGACGUUUCGCACAUUCUUAUCCCUUAUCAUCAAUAUUCUUCUCCUCAAGCUUAGAUCAUGGAAAUUUGAGUGACAAACAUGAUAACAUGGUAACACCAUCUAAACUUUAGGGGCAUAAAGUAACAUAGAAGCAACAUGGGAUGUUUUAAAAUCUAUUAUAAUUUGCUUAGGCCCCUGAAUAAAAUUAAAACUUGUAAUGAAAUAAAGUAGCAAAAUAAAGAUUGGAGGUCGCAUGCUUGAUAUUUGAUGCUGUCAAAAUUAAUUUGCAGUGCUGAAAUUGCUGCUCCAAUAAAUUUUUCAAUGGGAUUUCUAUAUUUACAACAAAUUUUCAGUAUUGAAACAGGAUUAAAAUCAUAAAGUAUCUUUUAAACAGCAGAGGCAACAAGAUCCUACAGAAAAAGAAGGCAAAAAGUAGUUACAAGCUACAGAAACGCAAAUAUUCUACUGGCCAACUCCCACUAAAUUCGAAGCAAUUCUAAAAUCUCAGCUUGUACUACGACAUCAUUCCUUCUAUGUGGCCCAACUGUACUUCACCCAGAAAUCACAUUUCUUCAUCAGAGAUAAUUUUACUUCUAAUAAGAGAGAAUUUUUUAUAUGCAUGGCUUUACAGUAAUGAAUAAUUUUCCUUAAAUCUUUUCUAACAGACAAGAAAGCACAAAGCACAAAAAUUGAUAUAAACAACUUUUCUCGAAGCUUUUUCAUAAGAAAACCUGAACAUGAUUGCUUCUCUUAGAAGGCCCCCUAGCUUCCUGCAAGAACCUUGUGCCCCCAAAAAAAACAAAGGAUUAUAAUUAGGCAUAAGGCUCCCAAUGUUCUUGCAGGAAUUAUGAUGAAUAUGAGAGUUUCAAAAAAGAAAAAAAAAUAUUACGACAACCUCUAGGCGGAGGAAAUCAGUUUUCUAGGAAUUCGUUAGAUUGGUGAAGUUAUAGAACCGCAGCAAUUUGCUGUAGUUUGGAAUGUUUUUGCCUUUCAUUAUAGCAUUUGAAAAGGCUCAAGGAUAUAGAAGAACCUUGGCUACAAAUUCAGGGAAGAUUUCACUUAUAAUGAGAAAUAAUCACCAUUAUUAUAUACAAUGAGAAAACAGUUAUGGAAGAAAUAGAAAGAAUUACCCGAAACGGAGGAUUUGGAAGACAAUGAGACAAAAGUAUAAAGAAGAAGAAAUUGGAGAUAUAAUGACUGCCUAUUUCUUUGAUGAACCCAUCAAAAACGGCUUGAAAAUUAAAGAAAUUGUAAAAUGCUGUAACGGAGGAAUUGAAACUGUAAAAGAUGCAAGUUAAUUCAUGGGGCUGGCCAUCUUGAUUGAUUGAACACCUAUUAGAUUUUUAAUAUUAAAGAACUCACUUUAAUGAUGUUUAAUUGGUAGUAGCCCUUUAUAGUCUUUAAACCUUUAGCAGUGCAAAGUCACAAGCUUUGUCCAGAAUCUAAGGGCGUAAGUUAUAGGCGAUGGGUGCCAUCACCUGGGCAACGACGUACAUCGCUUGGGCGACAAGCCAAUUUACUAGGCUCAUCGCAAACAGCCUUCGUCGCCUGGGCGAUGGCCAAAUCCAUCCAAUAAACUUUCAGCUCAUGUUUGAUAGUCUAAAAAAAGUAGUUAUGGUGGCCAUCACACAUCACAUUUUACUGACAAGCUGUCUUAAUUUUCAUAGAAAAUUGUUCCUACUGAUUUUCCAAUACUGGCCUAAUACUUGCAGAUUAUUAAACGAUUAUGGAAUGGCGGCGAUUUUAGACCAGUAAUUUUGUCAAUAAUUGCUAAUUCGCAAUCCCUUUACAAAUCUAAUAAUCUACUGCAUACACGCUCUUGAUGACUUGGAUUCUCAAAAAAUAACCAUUUUACGCCGCUGAAGCGCAGAAAAAUCAAUUGUUUUAUCCACUUCCAAAUAAAACUUAUUCUAGUAAAUGCGAUAAAGAAAUGUUUAUUUCAAUUUCCAACCCAGAUCUCAUAAAGAAUUUCUCACUCAAAUAAACAAAUAAAUAUCAUCUGGUAAUGGUAUGACAUUUAUUUUGAAGUAAACACUGGCCCACUAUUUUCUCAAUUUUCCAUUGUUUGAGGACACCAUUUUCUCAAUUGAAGAACAUGUUCUGGCCAAAAUUCACAAUUUUCUCCACGUGAUUUAAAGCACACAGGAUUCACACUUUUCUCCACGUGAUUUAAAAGCACACAGAAUUCUCCUGACCUUAAUUACGGAUCUUAUUAUGUUUAUUGAAAUCCAAUAUUGUAGACUCAUUGUUGUAGCUAGAAAAUCAUAUUAAUAGAGUAAAAUUUAUAAAUAAUCAAAGAAAAGAGUUCACGCUCUUACUUCAUUACUUUUAUAAUCUUAUUAGUAUAUCUACUUACAUGUCUUCAGAAAAUACAGUUUUAAGAGGAUAUUUUUAUUUUUCUUCGUAAUAAUAGAUUUAAUUUUCAUCUUUCUAAUGUUAAGUUGCAUAUUUGGAGUAAAUAAUAUUAAAUUUCAAAUUAGAUCACAGACCCCAUUUUAAUAGAUUCAAUUGGAUUUUGGACAUCUAAUUAAACAACUGGACUAAUAAAUUGCAAAUGAAUGAGAUUUAUAUGUGAUUUUAAAAUAAAAUUUGAACUCAAAUCUAUGUAUUUAAUUAAUCCAACAGGACAAAUUUAUAAUUUUCACCAACUAAAUAAAAUAUGUUAUCAGAAACUUUUGGACCAAGUCGCGCACUUCGUGGGUCUGCUACUACUUAUAGUCCAUUCUCAUUCAACUUUCACAUCUUUUAUAUUAUGUACAAAUUGGAUUAUAUUCUAAAACAGUGUUUCUAAUUGUUUAACGUUUUAUUUCUGGGUAUAUUUAGAGAUUAAAAAAUAUGGGAAACAUAAUUAAUUUUAUCAAAUAAAAAGGAGUAUUGUUCAUUUUUUCAUAAACAAUGUGUUAAAAUACUUUUGGUAUUUAAGAAGUAAAAAUUUUUAUUUUUGUUUCAUAAAAAAGCAUUCAAAAUUAUAUUAAAUAAAAUUAAAGAUUAACAAAACUGACAUCUGAAUUUCGUGCAAAUUAUAAUAAGUUUAUCUCCAGCGUGAGUAACAUUAAAGCUUGGCUAGCAUCAUCAUAUUUUAUCUCCAGCAUCAAAAUUCUGAUAACAUCAACAUCAUAAUUCCAAGGUUGUCAAAACUAAUUAUCAAAUUAAAAUCCUUUGUGAUUUAAGCUCUCUUGGACUUUUAAAAAUGUUAUGCCACCCCUUCUUUAAUAAUAGUAGUAUAUGAUUAUGAUUUAAUUAUUUUAUUUUUUUAAUUUAUCAAACACCAAUCACUUAAAUUAAACUCAAGAAAAAAAUUAGAACAUCAAAGAAUUUUAAUUGCUUCUUAUUAAGUACUAGAAUUAACUUCUCCCAAUGAUAAUUUAUUAAGCAAACCAUAAUGAUCAUCUUACACUAAAGAACCAACCCAUCUUCAAAACACAAGAAUUUAGUACAAAUAAUUAUCCCAAUAAAGUUUAACGAAAAAGAAAAGAGAUAUUUUUAUUAUUUCUUUUACUUUCUUAGUGGCUCUGCUACUACCUAUAGUCCAUUCUUAUUCAACAUACAGAUCUUUUAUAUUAUAUGCAAAUUAAAAUAUAUUCUAAAAAGUGUAUCCAACUGGUUAACAUAUUAUUUCUAUAUAAUAAUCAAUUUUAUCAAAUAAAAAGGAGUUUUGGUCAUUCAUUUGGCUCCGUUGCCACUGUUGUACGCUACAAAAGCUUUUGUCUUUGCUGACUCAGUUACUGUAAAAUGUCGUUCAGCCCCUUAUACUCUAUUUUAUUUAUAAGAAUUAUAAAAAUUUCUAAUUACCUACACUUUCAAAAUUCAAUUUAUCUCCUUACAAUCUUUUUCAUUUACUUUUUUUUGUAAGUAUUAAAAAGUUUCUAUUUACAACCACGACAUAGUAAUCAUCAUAACACACGAAUAUUUAUAAAAAUAUAAAAAUAUCACUAAAUUAAUACUAAAAAAUGUUUUCCUCUCUUGAGGAAUUAUGGUAUCUCAUUUUCGAUCACUCAUUAUCAACAAAAUUUUCAAAGAUAUGAUCAUUCAUCUUCUUUAUAAUAUCAUCUUAUAAUAAUUAAUACUUUCAUGAUUAAAAAAAUUAACAAAAUAAAGAUAAAUUCCCUUUGAAUCCAUCCCUCUCUACUAUCAUUUUCUCUUCAUUAGCAACAUUUAUCAAUAAUUGAAGCCACCAUCAGACUCAUCACACAGAGAGAGUGAGAGAGGGGAAGAAGAAACGGGAAAAAAAAAUAUAUGAGACAUUUACAAUUUUAUAGUGUGUUUAUUCAACGAGAUUCAUAUAUAGUUGCUAAGGGGUUUCAUUAGACACAGAGAGUUUAUUACACUGAAACUUUUAAUCCAGUAGUUAAGGCCUCAACAAUCAGAGUUAUUCUUAGCCUAGCAGUACUUAACAAGUGGAUAAUCAGACAAGUGGAUAUUAAUAAUGCCUUAAUGGCAUUUCAGUUGAAGAAGUUUACAUGGCACAACCUGAGGGAUUUGUGGAUCCUACUAAACCCCAACACAUCUGCAAAUUAAAAAGGACUAUAUAUGGCUUGAAGCAAGCUCUCAGGGCUUGGUUUGAUAGAUUCAAAGCUGCAAUGAUUACUCAAUGACAUUUUCAACACUCAAAAUCAGAUAAAAAAUAUCAAAAUAUUUAUAUCAUUAAACUUUUAGGCCUAAUUAACUAAUUAAAGUUCUAAAUUUUUAUUUAGGACAUUAAAAAGACCGGAUAGAUUCUAUUAGCCCAAAAAUUUUAUUUUAAUUUUAAUAUUCAUUAAAUAUUUUAAACUUAAAUCUAUUUUUUAUUUAUUUUUAGAUGUUAGAAUUGCCCACAGCGAAUCACAAUUUUAAUAUCUAAUCUAAUUUAAUCUAAUAUUUGCUCUUGAUUUGCUCUUACUUAACUAUUGUGUUGUAAAGGGAAUAGUCCACAUUUAUAAAGUGCCCACGCCACCCUUGAAAAAGUUAAUUUUGAAUCUAAAUUUGAUUUUAUUUGUAACAAUUUUGUAUUAGACUAUUAAUUUAUUUAUGAUAGUUUGUAAAAGAAGUUUGUAUCCCUUGCAUGCUGCGUUACUUACUAAUUUAAUGUAUGUGACUUUUGUAAUGGAUAUUAAUGCAAGAUAUUUUUCGAACUUUACUUUUAUUUAAAUUUUAUUUUAAUAUGAUUAACUCAAAUCGAAAAUAAAAAAAUGUAUUAAUUAUUCGGGGAUCGGGGACCCUCGGGGAUCCCCUAUUAUUAUUCGGGGAGGAGAUAGAGAUUCUCUUAAGUAAUUCUGACAGGGACGGGAAGGGGAUGAGGACAUACACAAAAUAUUGGGAAUGGUUACGGGGAGAUUGGUCCCCUCCCCUCCCCUCCCCAUUGCCAUCCCUAACUCCCUGACUAAAUAAUUUGGGAAUAUAAGGAUGCAAUAAGAGUUGAGUGGUCUUUAUUCCCAUAGCAUUAUUUUUUUCUCGCUUCAUCCGUGCUCUAUUCAAUCUUUAUGUGCCGCUUGUGUUAUGUUCCUGCAUAUCUAAUUACCUUUAGCUGCUUGUGUUAUGUUUACUUGUUUUGAUCUUAAUCUUUAAUCACUUAGCCUGAAUAAGAAAUAAUUUUUUAUAUUUGCUCUGCAAUGAUGUUAUUCGGUGUUAAUAGCUUCGUUUUGUUACUCUUUUCCGCACAGAUUCUUGAUCUCAACAGAACUUUUAUUUUGAAUAUUCUGCAUAAGGACAAUCUCAUUUAAUACCAUCAGUGAUUUUUCAUUUUUUUUCUCUUUAGUUUUAAUAUGUUUGAUAACUGUAUGGCUAAGCAAUCUAUGCAAUUUUAUCUUGUCGUAUGUUUGAGCUCAUUUUUUGUUGCAAUUCUGAAUAUUUGGUAUGAAUUAUGUGAUACCGGACAAUACUGUUAACUUGUUCAUUUCUUAAUUUUAAUAUCUUGUCAAAGUCACUAAUAGCAUUUCAUCAUGCUAUGAGUUAAACAUGGAACAAAUGACGACAUGCAGUUGUGGAAUGUGGUAGAUCUCUGGAAUUCUAUGUCCUUAUGCUUGUAGGGCAACACAAUACAUUAGUUAAAACAUUAAAGACUAUGAUGUCCGCAGAAAAUUAUAUGUCAACAUAUGCACCAGGCAUGAUGAAAUUAGCCAAAGACAGUGCUUGGAAACAAUUAACUAACUUUUGGCAUUAGGCGUAUCAAGUUCAAUUCGGUAUUUCACAAAACUUAAACUAACUUAUUCCUAAUUAUAGUGGACACAAUUAACUAACUUUGGCAACUGUUCUGAAGAGGAUGACUUCUUCAGGAUGACAUCAACUACCAGCGAUGAUACUAUCAGUAAGCUGCUUCUGCUAUCUAUUAAAUAUUACUGCUAAACGUAAUAUUGACAAUUUGUCUGUGUGCAGGCCUGUGAUAACCACUUGGAUCGGAUAAAGGACUGGGACAUCAACAAUUUGCCCAGAAACCAAUAAGAUAUCAUUGUAAUGUUUAAUUAUACAUGUAUUAGUUUCUCUUUGGAUGGUGCUCUUUGUUAUGCAAAAGUAUGGCGACUAUGUUUCAACCAGUGUAUCUAUUAUAUACACUAACUAUGAAUUACUAGAAAUUUUAUUACAUUAAUCAUUUUUAGAUAGCCACUCAUCUCAAACGAAACAAACUGGUCAGAGACACUUGACCCAACAUGCUUGUGAUCGACCUUAGAAUAAAUUUUUCUCACUCAAUAUAGACAACUUCUGUGAGGUUAAUAUUUCUUCAAAUGUCAAGAAAAGCAUUGGCCACAUAAAUGCAUACACAUGUUUUUGUUGGGAAGUUAAGCAGACGGGAACAACAUUGGACUAUAUACUCAUACACCAAACUUUAAUAAACUAAUAAAUAUAAUUUAAUAAUAAUUUAUUUCUCCUCGCUUAUGUGAGAAAAAGUCAAACCACAUAACGUAUUUAUAUUUUGUUAAGAAAUUUUACUGAUUGAACUAAUUAACACUAAUUUCUUAUCUCUCUUAACCAACGGAUAUUUUGAAGAUAGUUUUUUAUUUUCUAUAUUUUAUGUACUAAAUGAUUUUAAACCUCUAUCACGUCAUGAAUAAAUUGGAGUUUAGGUUGCUUAAAAUAAUAAUAAUAAUAAUAAUAAUAAUAAUAAUAAUAAUAAUUAAUAAAUGUAUUGAUGGAUUUCAUAAUCAUCCCACUUAGGGGUGGGCACGGUUCGGUUCGGUUCGAAAUUAAGUAGAACCGAUUUAAAUCGGUUAUUUUAUAAAAAGAACCGAAUAAGAACCAAACUCAAUAAGAACCAAACUCAAUAAGAACCGAACUCAAACGGUUCUUUUCGGAUCGGUUCGGUUCGGUUCGGUUUUUUCGGUUCUGGGUCUAUUGGGCCUAUUUUGAAUUUUUAAAUUUUUAGCCCAUUGGGCCUCAUAAAUGUAAUAAUUUUUUUCAACAAUUAAUUUAUCCUAAUUUUAUUACAAAUAUUAACAAUAAAUACAAAGUAUUCAAAACACAUUUUAUCACUAAUAUCUUACUAAUUAUUAAUAAGAUACUCCCAAAAUAUGAAAUAUUAAAAUUUCAAAAUACAUAACCAAACUCCAAUACUCCAUCUAUAUAAACAUAAUCAUAAUGUUAUAAAGAGAAAUAACACAUGUUUGAUUUGAAUAAAAUCAUGUUUGAUUUGAAUAAAAUUAUUAACACAUGUUUGAUUUGAAUAAAAUAAAAAAAUAAUUCGGUUCUUCGGUUCGGUUUUUUGGUUCAGCUAAGUGAACCGAAUACCGAACCGACAUUUCAGUUUUUUUUACAAACGGUAUAUUCGGUUUUUUUAAAAAAUAAAAACCGAACCGAAUUAAAAAAAACCGUCGGUUCGGUUUUUUUUAACAUUACGGUUUUUUUGCCCACCCCUAAUCUCACUCCUACGCCUCAAGACAAACAAGCUCACACUUCACGGAUCAGUCAAAGGAUCGGCUUUCAAGUCGUUGAAUUCACGGUGGUCAAACUAACGGAAAAACUAACGUGACGUCAAUCAGAUACGGUUUAUAAUAUAUGUAUCCUCAAUCAACGCAAAAAGUUUGAUCUGAAAAACCCUCUGCCUAAAACGCGUUUUCAGAAACGCGGUUUUGUUUUUCAAGUGGUUCCCAGAGCAUCCAUGCCAUGCUCUGUAUCAAUCAUUUCGUGCAUGUUUGGAGUUUGGCACGGCCAUUUUUACUGACUUUGUUAAGAAGUACUUAGAAGCUCAUUAGGAAAUGAUAACAAACGAAGCCUUGCGCUUUUACAUGUUACAUGCAUUAUUGGUAAGACGGUUGAUGAGUUACGUUAUAUGAACCCACAAUUAGUCGCCCAAUAGCCACCAUAUAUUAAAUAAUCAGUCAAAUUUUGAAUUGGGUAGUUAACUAAUUUCGAAUUACCGUAAGUCAUAAAUAAUGCAGGUUAGUAAGACCCGAGCCUAGGCAAAUUAAGGUCGUUAUCGCCUCUAAAUCAAGGCUGCAUAACCCAAAGUUAAGGGCACAUGUUCGAGUCCCAACUCCACAGUGUUGGAACUCUAUUAUAGUAUUAUUCCCUUUCACAUUAAAAGGAUAGGAUGGUUAUUUCUCUUACAUAUGUAGAUAGAUCAAAUAUAUCUUCUAAAUAAUAAUAGAUUUAUCAUUUUAAAGAGUUGUUUUAGAUAUGUGGAUAGAUCAAAUAAUAGACACCCUUUCCAUGAAAGGAGACUCAUUGAUUAUUGUUAAAAAAAAAAUUCGUUGAUGUUAUUAGAGAACUUGCAAUUUUUUUAUAACACUAAAUUUUUUAAUUUUUUAAGAUUUUUCUAUGAAUAGCAUGAAUUUUUUAUAGCAUUGGUAAUGAGGAUAUUAUGGACCUUUAGAUUUAAAUAUUUUAAUCUUCGCCAUUCAUUCAAUUUAGUGGAUAAAUAACUAAUUACUUAAUUUUUCAAGUUGCAUGUAGUAUAUAAGUUUAUGUAUGUAAUUCUAUUUUUAAUAAAUAAAUAAAUAAAUUUUAAAUCACUAACAAAAAAAAAUGCAAAUAUGUAUGUUAGUUUAGACGUGUACAUAAUAGAUAUGAAUUGAUAUUAUUUAAUUAUUGCACAAGACAUGCUAAUAAUGAUCUCUUUUGUCAAUAAUAAUCAGGAGAAUAAAAUGUUAAUUUCUUGAUUUUACUGGAUGGCUAAGAUCGAGUUAAGUCAAUUUUCGUUAUAUUUGUUAAUCUAAUAAUAUGUUGGCGAAAAAGAGGGAAUAUGAUUACAAACUAAGAUUGAGUUAAUUUUUUUAAUUCAGUCUUUAAAAAAUUGUACAACUGGUUUGAUAAUUGGUUAAUGAAAUUUUAAAUAACUAAAAUCAAGAUAUUAUUUUAACUAUAACUUCUAAUUUUGUACCAAACGUUGAUGAUCUUGAUGGGCGCAGAGGAUAGUUGGGUACGGUGCUGUAGUGGGCAACUAUGAGGAUAAAGUGAUGGUGACUGGAAUUGACAUAGGGGUAUACUUGGAUGAUGUUGAUUAUAGUGCGGCUGAGGCUUUAUGCUUUAGCUUAGAGUUGCUUAUCAAGAAUCUAUUAAUAACACAUUAUACUCAUACACCAAAGUUUAAUCUGAAUGAAUCAAGUAAUUCUAUGUUAAUAAAAGUUUUUAGACUUACGAUGAGGGUCUAGUUUAUAUAAAUGCAAAUAACACUGAAAUCUAAUAAUCCUUUACAAAUAAAUAUGAUUUAUUCAAUUAUCGCAAACAAUUGUUUUAUCAGAGUUAAUUACAUUAUUGCUAAACUUGUAUAAGCUUUCCUGUUUCAAGCAUAUCUACUUAAUUACAUUAUUCAUCGACAAUGUUACUUUGCUAGUAGAAGUUUUAUGUUUUCAUACCUUAAUCACUAUUUAACGCUUCGUUUUCCAAUAGUUCUAAUUCUUCAAAUUUUGGUUUUAUUCUUCCAUAAUUAUAAAUUGAUACUGAUUCGCACGACUCAAAUUAAAGUGGUUAAUUACUCUAAAAGUAUAAAUUUGGCAGUCAAUAAUUACUUAAAAAUAAUUGCAAAAAAAUUAAUAAGGAAUAGUAUAAAUUUAAAAACCGCUAAAGUUACGAGAUCCAUGCUUGAUAUUUAAAUCAUGGUCAUAAUACUCUUUCUCUCUCUCUCUCUCUCUCACACACACACACACAUAUAUAUAUAACCACUUUCAAUAUUAUGUUACUUAGUUCUUAAUUAACCGCUCUAUAAAUAAAUAUGAGAAUUAAGUACAUAUUAUGCUACAACCUUAUUGGAGUGUUCCCACUACCAUAUUAGUAGUCAACAUUAGGUCUAAACACCCACAUAAUAUUUUUGGUGAACUUGCAACCACAACCUUUAAAUUAGGGGUGGGCACGGUUCGGUUCGGUUCGAAAUUAAGUAGAACCGAUUUAAAUCGGUUAUUUUAUAAAAAGAACCGAAUAAGAACCAAACUCAAUAAGAACCGAACUCAAACGGUUCUUUUCGGAUCGGUUCGGUUCGGUUCGGUUUUUUCGGUUCUGGGUCUAUUGGGCCUAUUUUGAAUUUUUAAAUUUUUAGCCCAUUGGGCCUCAUAAAUGUAAUAAUUUUUUUCAACAAUUAAUUUAUCCUAAUUUUAUUACAAAUAUUAACAAUAAAUACAAAGUAUUCAAAACACAUUUUAUCACUAAUAUCUUACUAAUUAUUAAUAAGAUACUCCCAAAAUAUGAAAUAUUAAAAUUUCAAAAUACAUAACCAAACUCCAAUACUCCAUCUAUAUAAACAUAAUCAUAAUGUUAUAAAGAGAAAUAACACAUGUUUGAUUUGAAUAAAAUCAUGUUUGAUUUGAAUAAAAUUAUUAACACAUGUUUGAUUUGAAUAAAAUAAAAAAAUAAUUCGGUUCUUCGGUUCGGUUUUUUGGUUCAGCUAAGUGAACCGAAUACCGAACCGACAUUUCAGUUUUUUUUACAAACGGUAUAUUCGGUUUUUUUAAAAAAUAAAAACCGAACCGAAUUAAAAAAAACCGUCGGUUCGGUUUUUUUAACAUUACGGUUUUUUUGCCCACCCCUAAUCUCACUCCUACGCCUCAAGACAAACAAGCUCACACUUCACGGAUCAGUCAAAGGAUCGGCUUUCAAGUCGUUGAAUUCACGGUGGUCAAACUAACGGAAAAACUAACGUGACGUCAAUCAGAUACGGUUUAUAAUAUAUGUAUCCUCAAUCAACGCAAAAAGUUUGAUCUGAAAAACCCUCUGCCUAAAACGCGUUUUCAGAAACGCGGUUUUGUUUUUCAAGUGGUUCCCAGAGCAUCCAUGCCAUGCUCUGUAUCAAUCAUUUCGUGCAUGUUUGGAGUUUGGCACGGCCAUUUUUACUGACUUUGUUAAGAAGUACUUAGAAGCUCAUUAGGAAAUGAUAACAAACGAAGCCUUGCGCUUUUACAUGUUACAUGCAUUAUUGGUAAGACGGUUGAUGAGUUACGUUAUAUGAACCCACAAUUAGUCGCCCAAUAGCCACCAUAUAUUAAAUAAUCAGUCAAAUUUUGAAUUGGGUAGUUAACUAAUUUCGAAUUACCGUAAGUCAUAAAUAAUGCAGGUUAGUAAGACCCGAGCCUAGGCAAAUUAAGGUCGUUAUCGCCUCUAAAUCAAGGCUGCAUAACCCAAAGUUAAGGGCACAUGUUCGAGUCCCAACUCCACAGUGUUGGAACUCUAUUAUAGUAUUAUUCCCUUUCACAUUAAAAGGAUAGGAUGGUUAUUUCUCUUACAUAUGUAGAUAGAUCAAAUAUAUCUUCUAAAUAAUAAUAGAUUUAUCAUUUUAAAGAGUUGUUUUAGAUAUGUGGAUAGAUCAAAUAAUAGACACCCUUUCCAUGAAAGGAGACUCAUUGAUUAUUGUUAAAAAAAAAAUUCGUUGAUGUUAUUAGAGAACUUGCAAUUUUUUUAUAACACUAAAUUUUUUAAUUUUUUAAGAUUUUUCUAUGAAUAGCAUGAAUUUUUUAUAGCAUUGGUAAUGAGGAUAUUAUGGACCUUUAGAUUUAAAUAUUUUAAUCUUCGCCAUUCAUUCAAUUUAGUGGAUAAAUAACUAAUUACUUAAUUUUUCAAGUUGCAUGUAGUAUAUAAGUUUAUGUAUGUAAUUCUAUUUUUAAUAAUGACAAUUGAUUGUGUUAGCAUUUUGGUCAAAAAGGUGGACCCCCCCAAAAACAAACAAAAAAAAUUUAUGAUAAUAAUUAACAUUGAUAAAUAAAAAUAUUAAUAAUGGGUGUGUUAGCAUUUUGGUCCAAAGCCGAUUUGGCCUUGACAUUAAUUGGAAUUUUGGAUCUAUAAUAUGAUUUUCACCGAAAAGAUAAUUUUGCCGCUAAUUAUUUGGGUAGUCAGAUAAUAAUAACAAAAAAAUGUUAUCUCGAUCUCACCUAUAACUUGAGGAGAUAAUAAUGAUAGUCUUUCAUAAUACUCUACUGUUUAGUUUCUCUUCUUCAUUUUUUUCCCCUUUGAAGUCUUUCAACAAAAAUGGGUGGCAUCAUCUCAACCUUCUUCUCAGCGGACACAAUUCGUCCAAUUUUAUUUUACGUCGGUGGACGAGCAAAGUAUAUAUGGGGUCUUAAAGGUAAUCUCGAUGACUUGCAAACUGAAACGGAGAACUUGAUUGCGAAAAAACUAGAUCUACUGAAUAAGGUUAGGCUUGCCGAACAACAACAGCCUCGUGCCCAACGGACGAGCACGGUGAAACUCUGGUUCGAAAGGGUGGAUCGAAGUGUAACUCUUGUUGAGGGGCUGCAACAAGAAAGAGAUCAAGAGAUUGACAGAUUGUGUCUUGGAGGCUUCUGUUCCAAGGACUUGAUUUCAAGCUACGACUUCGGCAAAAAGGUGGAGAAGUUGAAGGAAGAAGUAAUCAAAUUGAGGGAAAAAGGAGAAGCAAUGAAAGAAGUUUAUGAGGGGUUACCAGAAGGUGCAGCGGUUGCAAUAGCUGUUGACCGAACAAUUGUUGGUCAAGAAUCAAUACUUGACCAAGUUUGGAGAUGCAUCACUGAUCAAAAAAAGAAUAAUGGAAUUAUUGGCUUAUAUGGUAUGGGGGGCAUCGGCAAAACUACUCUGUUAAAACAAGUCAAUAACAAAUUCUGCAGUGAGGAGCAUGAUUUUGAUGUCGUUAUCUGGUCGGUUGUAUCUAGAGAGCCAAACUUGAAGCAGAUUCAAGAGGAUAUUGGGAAAAGGAUAGGCUUCUCAACAGAUUCAUGGCAGAGAAAAAGGUUUGAAGAAAGGGCUUCAGACAUCACCAACACUUUAAAGCAUAAGAAGUUUGUAUUGUUAUUGGAUGAUAUAUGGGAGUCCGAAAUUGAUUUAACCAAAUUGGGCGUCCCUCUUCAGACACUAGAUUCUGGGUCCAGAAUAGUCUUCACAACUCGUUUUGAGGGUACUUGUGGUAAAAUGGGAGCCCAUAAGAAUCGGUACAAAGUGUUUUGUUUGGGAGAUGACGAUGCCUGGAAAUUAUUUGAGGGGGUGGUCGGGAGAUACGUUCUUAACAAGCAUCCCGACAUUCCGAAGUUAGCCGAGGAUGUGGCACGUCAGUGUCAUGGUUUGCCGCUAGCACUCAAAACAGUAGGUAAUGCCAUGGCGAGCAAAGUGUACCCUGAAGAAUGGAAAGAAGCAAUUGAGAUCCUAAGCGCAUCAGCUUCUAAAUUCGAAGAUAUGGAGAAAAAGGUGCUUUCGAGCUUAAAGUUCAGCUAUGAUAGUUUGCCGAAAGAUGAACUUCGAUCUUGUCUCCUGUACUGUUGCUUAUUUCCCGAAGACUCUGAAAUUCUAAAAACCGAGUUGAUAGAGUAUUGGAAAAGUGAAGGAUUUGUGCAUUCUAGCAGCGGGUGGGGGGUUCUUGGUGCUCUCGUUCGUGCAUGCUUAUUGGAGGAAGCAGGUGAUCGUGUAAAAAUGCACGAUAUGAUCCGUGACAUGGCAUUAUGGAUAGCAAAUGAAGUAGAGGAGGAGGAGGAGAACUUUUUGGUUCGUGCAGGAGUUGGAUUAACUGACGCCCCAAAGAUUGAAGAAUGGGAAGGGGUCAAAAGGAUAUCCUUGAUGCAGAACAAAAUUCAAAGUCUACCACAAAUUCCCUCUUGUCCGCGUCUGCAAACAUUGCUUCUGGCGAGUAAUCGUAUUAAGGAGAUCACUGAGAGUUUCUUUCAAUCUUUGCCUUCACUUAGAGUUUUGAGUCUAAGAAGAAAUCGUUCCCUGACUGAACUUCCUGUGGGGAUUUCAAGUCUGGUUUCAUUACACCAUCUUGAUAUGUCUUCUACUAAAGUACGUGGAUUGCCGCAAGAGCUCAAGGCAUUGGUGAAUCUGAGAUAUUUGAACUUGGAGUAUACACGUGGAAUGUCUAGAAUUCCACAGCAAUUAAUAUCAAGCUUUUCAAAGUUACAGGUACUCAGGAUGCUGCGUUGCGGUCGACGUUACCAGCCAAUAGUGGAAGAAGGCAACGUUCUAUCUGCUGAUGCUGAAUCAUUGAUGAAGGAAAUCCACUGUUUGGAACAAUUAAAUCUCAUCACCUUGUCCUUACAUGGUUCGCGUGGUGUUGAAAACUUUCUGAAAUUCCCAAAGCUGCAGAAUAUCACUCAAGCUCUGUCCAUCGAAGACUGCAACAGUCUACCGCUCAAUUUGUUACAUCUAGCAAACAUGGAGCAUCUUGAGGAGUUAUAUAUCGAGGAUAGUAAUUUGGAAGACUGGAAUGUCGACUGCGCGGGAGAGGUACAAAAAAUGCGUAAACUUCACUCGGUUCUCAUACGGAAUUGCUCAAAUGUGAAGGACUUGACGUGGCUUGUUUUUGUUCCAAAUCUCAAGUGGCUGCGAAUAGUUGGUUGUGAUGACAUGGAAGAAAUAAUCAGUGUUGAAAAAUUUGAAAAAUUGAGUGAAGUUUCAGAGAUGAUGGGAGAGCUUAACUUGUUCUCAGAACUCGAACUUCUGGUAAUAAGAAAUGCAAGUAAUUUGGAGCGCAUCUACCGCGAUCCCUUGCCCUUUCCACAGCUGAACCGAAUUAGCAUAUUGAAAUGCCCAAAGUUGAAGAAGCUCCCACUCAAUUCCAGCAGCGCAAAGGGACGUAAAAUUGCCCUUGCGGGACAGAAAGAAUGGUGGGAAGAGCUACAAUGGGAGGAUCAAGCCACUCAAAAUGCUUUCUCUCCCUGUUUCCGACCUAUUGAAGAAUAAAGUGCGAUAAGGCACAAAAGUGUGAAUAAAAUUUCUGCGCGUGCUUAAUGAUUAUCUUGUCUAUCUAUUUCAUUUAAUUUAAAAGUUUUCUACGGAGUUGCAUGUGUGUCACUUGUCAUUCUUCUGUACUGCUGUUUCCUAUUUCCAGUUAAUAAAAUUUUUUUGUUCUUAGAGUUAGAAAUGCUUUACUUGUAAGGGAGAUUCACAAUUUUCCCAUAUUAUGAUUAAUAUAUUCUUUUUACUUUCCUACUAUUUUGCAUAAUUUUUUAAUAUUAUUUUUAUUUCUAAAUAUAUUUUUAUUCAUAUUUAUUAUAAAUUAAAUAAAUGUAUGAAUAGAAAUAAAAAUAAAAAUAAAAAUUAAGUAUUAAAACAAGAAAUAUAUAUUAUGAUUUGAAUAAAAAAUAAAUAUUUUUUUGUACUUAGAAUGCCAUUUGUCGUGAGCACCUGAAUCCCCAAAGGACUCCCAGCUUCAAGUGGCUUUGACUUAGCUUGCUUUAGCUCCAUUGCACAUACUCACUCACAUGGAGGAAAUGAACAGAACAAGAAACCUCAUCAUGCCGAAUAUGAUAGAUAUGACAAGGCAUUACAUUGUAGGAAGCUCCCGAUUUCUCUAAAAAACUCUGCAGGUUCUCCGCAAUCAAGGCGUGCUCCAUCUUUAACAGAUCACUUCUACCAUUAAGAGAAGGAAGAGAGUUCCUCUCGUGUGACAGUAAAUCCUUACUUAACACAGGAUUGGAGCCAACCAAGAAGGGAAGGCAAUUUCGUUAGAUUAAGAAUCGAAUCACCAUCCAAUAUAGUAGCAUUUGAACCAGAACUCUUGUUAAAUUCUUGAAAUCUCCUGCUUUCAUCAGUCUGUAAGAGAAAUGAAGAUGAGAAUAAUAGCCAGAACCGGAUUAAAUUCAAUCUGGUCUUUUGAAGACUUCUAUAACAACUAAGAGAACCCAGUGUACCGCCUACAGAUACUGUCAGGCUUCUAUCAAAUAUCCCAAACACCAAAAACCAACCAAAUUAAGCUAACAAACCUGCAUGAAUAUCUAAAUUUCAAUGCAUAUGAAACAAACUCCAUGUUCAAUCCACCAAAACUAGCAAAUUUCAAACUUUAUCACUCAUCAUUCUCUCUCUGUCAGCUGUACGAGGCUAUGAGAUCAUGUUAUAAUGUUCAUAUUGAUGCUGAAUGUUUUGCCAGCUUGUCUGAAUUCCAUAAGAGAAUGCAAUGUGCACAUUAUUGUGCCUUGCCCACCAGUAGAUUCUAAACCACAAAAUCAUUCUGUGAAGUAGCUGACGUUUCGCACAUUCUUAUCCCUUACCAUCAAUAUUCUUCUCCUCAAGCUUAGAUCAUGGAAAUUUGAGUGAUAACACGAUCUAAACUUUAGGGGCAUAAAGUAACAUAGAAGCAACAUGGGAUGUUUUAAAAUCUAUUAUAAUUUGCUUAGGCCCCUGAAUAAAAUUAAAACUUGAAAUGAAAUAAAGUAGCAAAAUAAAGAUUGGAGGUCGCAUGCUUGAUAUUUGAUGCUGUCAAAAUUAAUUUGCAGUGCUGAAAUUGCUGCUCCAAUAAAUUUUUCAAUGGGAUUUCCAUAUUUACAACAAAUUUUCAGUAUUGAAACAGGAUUAAAAUCAUAAAGUGUCUUUUAAACAGCAGAGGCAACAAGAUCCUACAGAAAAAGAAGGCAAAAAGUAGUUACAAGCUACAGAAACGCAAAUAUUCUACUGGCCAACUCCCACUAAAUUCGAAGCGAUUCUAAAAUCUCAGCUUGUACUACUACAUCAUUCCUUCUAUGUAGCCCAACUGUACUUCACCCAGAAAUCACAUUUCUUCAUCAGAGAUAAUUUUACAUCAUUCCUUAUCAUUAGGCAUAAGGCUCCCAAUGUUCUUGGAGGAAUUAUGAUGAAUAUGAGGGUUUCAAAAAAGAAAAAAAAAUAUUAUGACAACCUCUAGGCGGAGGAAAUCAGUUUUCUAGGAAUUCGUUAGAUUGGUGAAGUUAUAGAACCUUAGCAAUUUGCUGUAGUUUGGAAUGUUUUUGCCUUUCAUUAUAGCAUUUGCAAAGGCUCAAGGAUAUAGAAGAACCUUGGCUACAAAUUCAGGGAAGAUUUCACUUAUAAUGAGAAAUAAUCACCAUUAUUCUAUACAAUGAGAAAACAGUUAUGGAAGAAAUAGAAAGAAUUACCCGAAACGAAGGAUUUGGAAGACAAUGAGACAAAAGUAUAAAGAAGAAGAAAUUGGAGAUAUAAUGGCUGCCAAUUUCUUUGAUGAACCCAUCAAAAACGGCUUGAAAAUUAAAGAAAUUGUCAAAUGCUGUAACGGAGGAAUUGAAACUGUAAAAGAUGCAAGUUAAUUCAUGGGGCUGGCCAUCUUGAUUGAUUGAACACCUACACGUGACAAGUGUGCGAUAAUCGUUAUAUCUUCAAUUUUAGGCAGUUUUUCAUUUCUUUUAUUUUAAUAGUAAAAAAAUACGCCAUUUUAGAUACAAAUGCCCCUGACUAGCCCUUUUGUAAGUUACAUUGUUUGGUGCGAUAGUCCCGCACGUGCUUGACAUUUGCCGAAUAUCUUAUGCGCAUUUUUUUUCCCCUCUAACUCAUUGUGUAUGCUCAUCUUUAUGUGCGUUAUUACCUAAACUUAUAUACCAAUCAAAAUAAAUCAUAAAGUAUCAAACGCUUUUAAAUGAUUUUUAAUAUUAAAGAACUCACUUUAAUGAUGUUUAAUUGGUAGUAGCCCUUUAUAGUCUUUAAACCUUUAGCAGUGCAAAGUCACAAGCUUUGUCCAGAAUCUAAUGGCGUAGAUUAUAGGCGAUGGGUGCCAUCACCUGGGCAACGACGUACAUCGCUUGGGCGACAAGCCAAUUUACUAGGCUCAUCGCAAACAGCCUUCGUCGCCUGGGCGAUGGCCAAAUCCAUCCAAUAAACUUUCAGCUCAUGUUUGAUAGCCUAAAAAAAGUAGUUAUGGUGACCAUCACACAUCACAUUUUACUGACAAGGUGUCUUAAUUUUCAUAGAAAAUUGUUCCUACUGAUUUUCCAAUCCUGGCCUAAUACUUGCAGAUUAUUAAACGAUUAUGGAAUGGCAGCAAACCGGCGCCGCGGAGGGGGGCCGGCCCGGGGUUGUUGUGCUGAUUUGGGAGGGGUAAUAAACCCUCUGAGGCAAUUUAGCAAACAUAUUAUGUGCCAUGAUUUUAGACCAGUAAUUUUGUCAAUAAUAGCUAAUUCGCAAUCCCAUUACAAAUCUAAUAAUCUAUUGCAUACACGCUCUUGAUGACUUGGAUUCUCAAAAAAUAAUCAUUUUACGCCGCUGAGGCGCAGAAAAAUCAAUUGUGUUGUCCCUUUAUACUUUUUCAUUUGUUUUGCCCACGUCCAAAUAAAACAGAUUCUGGUAAAUGUGAUAAGGAAAUGUUUGUUUCAAUUUCCAACCCAUAUCUCAUAAAGAAUUUCUCACUCAAAUAAAUAAAUAUUAUCCGGUAAUGGUAUGACAUUUAUUUUGAAGUAAACACCGGCACGCCAUUUUCUCAUUUUUUUCAUUUUUUGAGGACACCAUUUUCUCAAUUGAAGAAUAUAUUUUGGCCAAAAUUCACAAUGUUCUCCACAUGAUUUAAAGCACACAGAAUUCACACUUGUCUCCACAUGAUUUAAAAGCACAAGGAAUUCUCUUGACCUUAAUUACGAAUCUUUUUAUGUUUAUUGAAAUCCAAUAUUGUUGACUCAUUGGUGUAGCCAGAAAAUCAUAUUAAUAUAGUAGAAUUUAUAAAUAACCAAAGAAAAAAGUUCACGCUCUUACUUUAUUACUUUUAUAAUUUUAUUAGUACAUCUACUAACAUGUCUUCAUAAAAUAUAGUUUUAAGAGGAUAUUUUUAUGGUUGUAGAUAUUUUUAUUUUUCUUCUUAAUAAUAGAUUUAAUUUUCAUCUUUCUAAUGUUAAGUUGCACAUUUGGACUAAAUCAGAUUAAAUUUCAAAUUAGAUGACAGGCCUUAUUUUAAUAGAUUCAAUUGGAUUUUGGACAUCUAAUUAAACAACUGGAUUAAUAAAUUGCAAAUGAAUGAGAUUUAUAUGUGAUUUUAAAAUAAAAUUUGAACUUAAAUCUAUGUAUUCAAUUAAUCCAACAAGACAAAUUUAUAAUUUCUACCACCUAAAUAAAAUAUGUUAUCAGAAACUUUUGGACCAAGUAGGGGCAGUUCAUCACUUCGUCGGCCUGCUACUACUUAUACUCCUUUCUCAUUCAACUUUCACAUCUUUUAUAUUAUAUACAAACUAGAUUUGUCAUGCAAGUAUUUGACAGAAGAAAUCUCAUUGGAAAUCGGACAACUUCAAGAAAUUCAUUUAUUGAAUUUGUCACAUAAUUGCUUGUCGGUUUAUAAACCAAAAAGGUAUUCCAAAUUAAAAGUGGUAGAGAGCCUAGACUUUUCUUACAACAGAUUAAGUGGUAGAAUUCCUCCUUAAUAGACUGAGCUCAAUUUUUUGAUCUGUCUUCAAGACGUCAUACAACAACUUGUCCAACCUGAUACCAAACAAAGAGCAGUUUGCCACAUUCAAUGAAGGCAGUUAUGGAGGAAAUCUGCAUCUUUGUGGUCCAACAGUUAAUAAGAGUUGCAACAAUGCGGAGGAAAUACCAGCAAUAGAAUCCAAUCGAGGAGAAGAUGAAGAUGAAUGUGCAAUUGAUAUGGUGUCAUUCAGUUGGAGUUUCGGUUCAUCAUAUGUCACAUUCAUCAUGGGGUUUUUCGCGAUACUUUGGAUAAACUCAUACUGGCGCAGAAUGUGGAUCUAUUACAAUCAUGUAUUCACUAGGCCAUACGCGUGAUGUGCUUUUCUGCUAAAACUAGUUCACAAAUGUGAUUUCAUUAAAAUUAGUCUAUACACAUCUUUCCCUUGGCUUUUGUUGGCUCCAACUCCGGACUUUUAUUCAUAUCAUUACUUUAUGUAGUUUCCCCAAAAGGCUUGUGAUGAUUAAUGCAGUUUAUAAAUUAUUACUACUACAAUAAUGAUAUAAUAAAUAAUUUUUUUUAAGUUGUAAAAGUGAGAAAUACUAAAGAGAUCUUUAUUACAUCAUUAAUGUUCGAUCAAGAAUUUCCUCAUCCGAGCUUGCAGUCUGUGGAGGAGACUGUAUCAAUGUCGAAAUUCUCCGGACCGGCACUAUUUGCUGUUUCUCCAUUGAAUAGUGCGUCUUACUACAACAAGGUGAAACACAGCCCAGUGUUCUGAUUGGGCCCAAUGCGAAAAACAUAAAACCCAAAUUUUUGUUGACUUUGGGCCUGCUCAAAUACCAUGCCCAAUUGUGUCUAGUUGUAACAAAAGCGGCGAGAUGUUCAUGCCCAAACCCGCAAGAUUGUUUUAAUAUUUAAAAUUUAACAUGAUUCUAGAAUUUUUGUUAAUAAAAAAUAAACCACCAAGAUUCUAGUGAAUAACAAAUGUAUACAUAUACACGUGCUGUGUAGACCGGGCCAAUUCUUGUGGAAUUCUCCAACAACCAUCCUGAUUCUUGAAUUGCCGCGAAAAUUCCGCAAGCGAUGAACCCUCUCUUACGCACCACUCAUUCUCUAUCACAAUGAUCAAAAUAAAGACGAGGACGGAGACUAUUAAUCACUGAGAGUGAUUUUCUCAAUAUUUGUCAAUCACUACUAAGAUUCAUUGUCAAUCAAUAAUAUCAAUUGACACAAAGAUUGAUUGUCUUUUUUUUUUUUUCGAGAAUAUCAGUGCUUGAAUACAUUAUUUGAUAUAUAUAAUUCAAUGUAAACUCAAUCAUACUCUUAAAUUAUUUUUAUAAAUUCUCAAUAUCAGUCUUUGAUUUUAAUUCGAGUUUUGAUUCAAAUUAAUGCAAGGAUACAAAAGGACUCAAGAGCUUCAUAUAUCAAUUCUAUGUUAUUAACUUAUUAUUUCGGUGUACACCACAAAUUUAUGAGUAAUUUAUUAAAAUGUCUAAACAUAUAUGAAAAAUAGUUGAUUAUUGAUUUUCACAAAUUUCAAUAUAUCAAACAUCCUAUCGAGUUAUUAAUUCCAAAGCACAUUAUUUAAGAAUCAAUGCUAGAAUAAAUUAUUUGAUAAUUUCAAACCCAAAUUUACGCUUAAAUUCUUUAAAUUAUCUCAAUCAACUUUUUUUUUUCUUAGCUGACCAUCUAUAUCAGCUAUUGGAAAAAAAAAUAGAAUUGACGACUACUUGUAUGUUGGCCUAAUUUGAAAGUCAAUCAACAUUUAUUUUCCAUGUAAUGUUAAUGAAGCAUUUCCCUCAUUGGUCCAACAUUGCAACAUGUGGAAUUUCAGGCUUACAAUUCCUCAUUAGUCAUUACAGAUACCGAAAUUGAUUGUCAGACAAUAUUGUCAUUUCAAUAUAUGCCACAAUUUUAUGAGUAAUUUACUAAAAUCUUUAAAUAUAUAAAAUUUGCAUGUGUGUAAUAAACCUGUAUUUAUAUAUAAAAUUUGCAUAUUUAAAUUGCACCUCUCCAUGCAUCAUAUAAAAUGUCAUUUCAAUGUGAUCCACACUUUUAUGAGUUAAUAACUAAAUAUUGUCACUAAAUUUUUCCUAAUUGUUGCAUGCAUUAGAUUUUUUUACGAAAAAAAAAACAUGCUACAUUAAGUGUAAAACAAUUGAGGAAAAGAUUAGAGAACACAAUGAGAAAAGAAAUUUUUUAUACAACCUUUUCAUCAAUAAAAAUCAUAUUCAUACUAAUCAAUUCUUCAUUCCUCUUGGUAUUAACAGACUCUCACAUCCUACAAAAUCUAACCCUUAUCAUCCAACUAUCUUUAUCAUUAUUUAACUCAUGAAGAAAAGAGUACUCCAUGAAGCACACAAUACUAAAAAUUCAAAUAAGUCAAAAAUAAAAAUGCAAGAAUAUUUCUAAGGAGGAUGUUGGUUAAAUAAUAAAAAACCCAAACAUAACAAAUCUUAAAUACUUAAUGUUUAUAGACUUUGAAGAAGUCAAAAGACAUUAAACAAAAUGUUGCAUAAUUAAAUAUGGAAUUAUGACAUUAAAAUUAGGCCCUAAUGGCAUUGGUGAGUGAAGAUGAAGGAACCUUCCUUCCUAUAUUAAUUAGUUGAUGUAUUUUAAGUCACUAAAGUUUAGUUGUUGGCUUAAUAAAAUAAAUGAAUGUUUCAAGACUUAUAAUUAAUUAUUAUUAAUGGUUGCAUAUUAUUGAAUUUAAAUAGAAAGAGGAAGAGACAUGUAAUUUUUUGUAAUCUAAUAAUUAUUUUCUAUUUUGUAAUGUAAUUAUUUUUUAAUCUCAACCAAUAUAUUAGAUAAUAGAGAAUAUAAAAAGAUAAGAAAUAAUGAUGUCACAAAUCUUAAAUACUUAAUGUUUACAGAGUUUGAAGAAGCGAAAAUGCACUAAACAUAAGGUUGCAUAAUUAAAUAUAGGAUUAUGGUAUUAAAAUUAGGCUCUAAUGGCAUUGUUGAGGGAAGAUGAAAGAAACUUUCUUCCUAUAUUAAUUAAUUGAUGUAUUUUAAGCCACUAAAGUUUAAUUGUUGGCAUAAUAAAAUAAAUGAAUGUUUUAAGACUUAUAAUUAAUUAUUAUUAAUGGUUACAUAUUAUUGAAUUUAAAUAGAAAGAGGAAGAGACAUGUAAUCUUUUGUAAUCUAAUAUUUAUUUUCUAUUUUUAAUAUUUUGUAAUGUAAUUAUUUUUUAAUCUCAACCAAUAUAUUAGAUAAUAGAGAAUAUAAGAAUAUGAGAAAUAAUGAUGUCACAUCACCUCUUGUAGUCCCAACUCUCUCUCUCUCUCUCUCUCUCUCUCUCUCUCUCUCUCUCUAUAUAUAUAUAUAUAUAUAUAUAUAUAUAUAUAUACAUACAUAUUAUUUUCUAAAAAGUAUUUCUAAUUGUUUAACGUUUUAUUUAUGAGUAUUUUUAAGAGUUUAAAAAAUAUGGGAAACAGAAUCAAUUUUAUCAAAUAAAAAGAAUAUUGGUCAUUUUCUUCAUAAAGAAAGUGUUAAAAUACUUUUGGUAUUUAAGAAGUAACAAUUUUUUUUUUUGUUUCAUAAAAAAAGCAUUCAAAAUUAUAUUAAAUAAAAUUAAAGAUUAACAAAACUGACGUCUGAAUUUCGUGUAAAUUAUAAUAAGUUUAUCUCCAGCAUGAAUGACAUUAUAGCGUGGCUAGCAUCAUCAAAAUUCUGGUAACAUUCCAAGGUUGUCAAACUAAUCAUCUCAAAAUGUCAUUAUACUUGUAGCGUGCGGGCAUCAUCUUUACUUUCAGCAUCAAAAUUCUUUUAUUUAAUACACUUUUAUUUUAUACAAUUUUUAUCAUAUUAAAAUCCUUUGUAAUUUAAGCUCUCUCGGACUUUUAAAAAUGUUAUGCCACCCCUUCUUUAGCAGUAAUAGUAUAUGAUUAUGAUUUAAUUAUUUUAUUUUUUAAUUUAUCAAACACCAAUCACUUAAAUUUAACCUAAGAAAAAAUUAGAACAUCAGAUAAUUUUAAUUGAUUCUUAUUAAGUACUAGAAUUAACUGCUCCCAAUGAUAAUUUAUUAAGCAAACCAUAGUGAUCAUCUUACACUAAAGAACCAACCCAUCUUCAAAACACAAGAAUUUAGUACAAAUAAUUAUCCCAAUAAAGUUUAACGAAAAAGGAAAGAGAUAUUUUUAUUAUUUCUUUUCCUUUCUUUCAUUUCAAUUUCUUGCCUCCUGAGCUCUUCUAAAAGCCAACCAAACCACUUAUUUAAAAAAAAAAAAAAGGAACCAGACAAAGCGCAAGAAAAAAAAUUAAAAAAUUCGCAGUCUACACACAUCCCAGCACCGUAUGCGUCCAAUAAUUCAUCUCCAAUAAUUGCCCCUAUAUGACCACCGGUUUGUACUUGCAUAUAUGUGAAACAGGAUAAAAUCACAAUGUGUCAUUUAAUUAGCAGAGGUAACAAGAUCCUACAGAAAAGGGUUUACAGGAAAAGAAAGGAAAAAAAAUUGUUACAACAUACAGAAACCCAAAUAUUCUACUGGCUAACCCCCAUUAAAAUUCGAAACCAUUCUUAAAUCUCAGCUUAUACUACUUCAUCAUUCCUUCUGUGUACCCCCAACUGAAUUUCUGGCAGAAAUCACAUUUCUUCGUUAGCCUCAACUCAUGCAUCUUUUACUUUUAAUCAAACAUACUUUUUUAUCUGCUGGGCUUUUUAACAAAGAAUAAUUUUCCUUAGAUCUUUUCUAAUAGACAAGAAAGCACAAAGCACAAAUAUCUAGGAAUGUUUUUGCCCUUCAUCAUAGCACUUGCAAAGGCUCCAGGGUAUAGAAGAACCUUGGCUACAAAUUCCUGGGAAGACUUCACUUAUAAUCAACUGGAAGGAUGUCACCUCUACGGGCGUUGUACAUUUUCCACUUCUACGUGGUAUCCUGCAGAAACAAACAAUAAAACACGUGUUAUACAAGUAUUUUUUAAGUAUGAAAUACAUCAAAAGCAUUUAUGAUGCCAUUAAGUUUAGUCAAUACAAUCUCUCAAGGCAGGACAAGAGAUUUGAGAUUCAAACUCCACCUACGUAGGAAAGGAAUGUCAAAAAGAAAUGCGGUUGGGAUAGGUUAUUACGUUUUAUUCUUUUUAUUACUAGAAUUGAAUAAUGCUGCCUUUGACAGUAAAAUAAACGUCAAGUGAUAAUUGAAUUAUAAAAAAGUGAGGUAAAUGGUGAGAAAUAAUCACCAUUAUAAUUUAUAAUAUAAAAUGAGGAAAUAAUUAUGGAAGAAAUGGAAAGAAUUACCUGAAAAGAGGGAUUUGGAAGACAAUGAGACAAAAAUAUAAGGAAGAAGAAAUCGAAGAUAUAAUGCCUGCCCAUUUCUUUGACGAACCUGUAAAAUGUCGUGAUUGAGGGAAUUAAACCGUAUGACGUUUAUGAAAUACUAACUAGGCAACCCAAGAGGGGGGUGAAUUGGGAUUUUAAAAAUUAUCCUAGGCAAACCACACAACAAUUUAAUCUAAUGCCUUAAUAAAUUCGAAAACAAUAAAUUCAAUAAAAGCACAAUAAUAAAUGAGUAAGGGAAGAGAAAGCAAACCCAAGGAUUUUUACGUGGUUCGGCAAUCCCCGCCUACGUCCACGCCUCCAAGCACACCGGGCUUGAGGAUUUUACUAAGCUAGCCUCCCAAGGCUUCAAACGCUUACAAUUGACUUCCAAGGUGUCAAUGGACCUUUACAACAAGAGAUUAUCCCCAAUCUCUUAACCCAAGUGUAUCCCAACACUUACAAUCUUUUAACUUGAUUUUACAAAAAAGAUUACAAAUGAAUCUCUCUCACACAAUGUGUUUGAUCACAAGUGAAAGCUCAAUGUGUGAAUGAAUGAGAUGAAUACAAAGAUUUAAAGCUCAAUGAAAGUUGUAUUCUCAAUAUUUUGCUCAAUGAUGAUCGUUGGAAUUCUUCUUGUUUGAAUUGGAUUGAGAUUAUUUAUAGUUGGAGCUGAAAAACUAGCCGUUAUAGACUGUCUGCUAGAAAACGGUUCGCCGUUAACCAUUAACGGUUAACCGUUUAGGCCGGUCAAAGUUACCGUUGGGCCAAUUUUCAAAUAAACGGUUAGCCGUUUAUUCUUACCCUUUCGCCGUUAAUUUCCAGAGACCUGCAAAACAAAUUUGGUUUAACCGUUCUUAUUAAACGGUUCAAGGUUAACAAUCUGGAAAUAAUCGGUUAACCGUUUUCAGUAAACGGUUCACCGUUAGUUUCCAGAAUCAUCAUUUUAAUAAUACUUUACAGAACAUGCUUUCUGGAAAUUAUCGGUUAGCCGUUUUAAAUAAACGGUUAGCCGUUUGCUACAGUGAUUGCUACAGUGAAAAUAUUUUCUAAAUUUAUAAUUUAACCCCAAAACUUUAUAAAACUUUAUUACGGCCCAAAACGUUAUGAAACUUUGCACAUAGGUCCAAUUUCAGAAUUUCUAAAUAAUACUUUGUUAAUCCCAAAACUUUUUGAAAUUAUGGUAUAGCCCAAAAUGUUAUGAUACUUUUCAAAUAAGUCCUUUACCAAGAUUUCAAGCAAUACUUGUUUAUUUCAAAGUUUUCAAAAUUCUUUCAAUUAAACCAUAAACUUUGAAAAACAACCAAUUUCAUAAAAUCAUUUUUCCAUUAAAUAUGAAACAUUUAUAAUGUGAAAAUAAUGAUUUAUUUAAAAAGAAUAAAAACAAUCAAUUUCAUAAAAUUAUUUUUCCAUUAAAUAUAAAACAUUUAUAAUGUGAAAAUAAUGAUUUAUUUAAAAAGAAUAUUAAAUAAUUUGAGCUUAAAAGAUUAAUCAUUCUUAAUCUUAUUUGUUAUCAUCAAAAUCAAUAUUAUGAAAAUAUAUAUGUUAACAGUUUACUUUGGCGGCCCCCAGUCUUGUCAAUCAGAGAAUAUGUUUUGGCCGAAAUUCACAAUUCUUACCACGUGAUUUAAUUAAAGCACACAGAAUUCGUAAUUUUCUCCAGACAAUUUAAAUUAAACCCGCACUCUUUAUGGACUCCACUUUUAAGAAGGAUAUUGCCCACCGAGCAAACUAACCAAAACUCUUUUCCCUUCUGCGUUCAUUCUCCAACUCGUUGUCACUUUGUUUUGCUCUUCCUCUCUAUAUGAUUUUUAAGAACUAUUAAAUGUUUGUUUGUUUCUUAAAAAAAAUGUUUGUUUUUUUUUGUAUUAGAUGAUUAUAAAUAUUUAUUUAAUUUUAUAUUUUUUUAAAUUUUUUAUUAUUGUUUCAUUAUUUUUUAGUAAAUUUUUAAAAAUUAAAUAAAUUAUUUUUAUUUCUGUUAAUAAAAAUUUAAACUUUAAAUUUUUGAGGGAUGAGAUUUAUUUUUUUUAAAUAUUAAAAUACUUAAAAUAUCUUUUAUUUAUGUAAUAAUUUUAUUUUAUUUUUUUGUUAAAUAAUUUUAAAAAAAAUUAUUUAUUAAAAUAAUUUUAUAAUUUUUAAUAAAAACUCUUAUUAUCAAUUAAAUAACUAAAAUUAUUUUCAUAAAAACUUUUAUAAUAAAAAUCCUACCACACCGCAGAGUCUGCACUUACCUGCGCGUACUGUUUAAAACCCCUCACCGGCUCUGCUCUCGCCACCAAUAUUAAGAAAGAUACUUUGUUGUGGUGGCAUUUUGGUAAAAAAUAUGGGCCCCCAAAAUAAUCAUAAUAAUUAAGGAUUUAGCUAUGUGGCAACGGGUACACCAUACACUUUUUUUUUUUUUUUUUUUGUGCUGCCACAGUUAGAUCCAACACAAAAGUAGUAUUAAGAGCAAGAUGUGUUUGUUUGUUUAUUAACAAUGCAAUCCCUAAUAUUUGUCAAAAAUUUUAAAAAGUUAAAGUUUAUAAAAUUUUGUGCCAAUAUUUUUUUCCCAAAUUCUCUUAGCACAAUUAAUUGUGUUAUGGUAUCCACUUUUGCAGGUUAUAAUCAAGAGAUCAGACAUGAUAGAUACAUAAAAAAUAAUAUAAAAUAAAAAAAUUUUGAAUUUUUGUUAAAGCUCUCAUUUCUAAUAAUUUGUUAAAAUAUUCUUUUACCUAAGAAAACAAACUCAUUGACAUAAUAAAAAGAGUUUUACUGAUAAAAUAAUAAUUAUUCAAUUAUUAGAAGUGCUACAGUUAGAUUUUUUUAAGUUGAAAAUGUAGAGAAGCAUGGAGGAGAAGAGGAGAAGAAGACACAUAAUAAAACAUAAAAAUUUUCAAUUUAUUUAUACCUGAAUUCCAUUGUAUGAUGAAUAGAUUGUAGGUACAAAAAUAUAUUUAUGUGAUUUUCUUUUAUAUAAAAAGUUCAAUUCAUUAUUGCUUAUAUGAUAUAGAGCAAAUUAAUCUUAAGGUAAUGAGAAAGUAGCUUCAAUGAGAAUGCCAAGCUUCUCUUAUUGAUUGUAAUUGAUUGAUUACAUAUUUAAUUAAAAAAAUUCAAAAGGACGUAGAGGUGAGGGUUUUGAAGAAAGAGAAAAAAGAAAUUACUUCAAUAAUUUGUAAAUACAGAAGAGAUUAGGGGGUCAAAAAAUACAAAAAGUAGGGUAUGGUGGACCCAUUGUACCGUAGCUCAACUCAAGCCAAUAAAUUAAUUGUUUUAUCCUAUAAAUAAAAAUUAAUGUUGUGUAUUUGCCUAUAACUUGAGGAGGUAAUAAAAGUCUUUCGUUAUACUCUACUGUUAGUUUCUCGCCUUUUAUUCCUCUGAAAUCUUUCAACAAAAAUGGGUGGCGUCAUCUCAACCUUCUUAUCAGCGGACACAAUUCGUCCAAUUUUAUCUUACGUUGGUGGAGAAGCUAAGUAUAUAUGGGGUCUAAAAGAUAAUCUUGAUGACUUGCAGACUCAGAAGGAGAAGUUGAUUGAGAAAAAAGAAGAUAUGCUGAAUGAGGUUGAGCUUGCUGAACAACGACCCCGAACCAGACGGACGAGAUCGGUGCAACGCUGGUUUGAAAGAGUGGAUCGAAGGGUAACUGAAGUUGAGAGGCUGCAACAAGAAAGAGAUCAAGAGAUUGACAGAUUGUGCCUUGGAGGCUUCUGUUCCAAGAACUUGAUCUCAAGCUACAGCUUCGGGAAAAGAGUGGAGAAGAUGAAGAACGAAGUGAUCGAAUUGAAGAAAGGAGGAGAAGCAAUCAAUCCACUUUAUGAGGAGGUACCAGAAGGUGCAGCGGUUGCAAUAGCUGUUGACCGAACAAUUGUCGGUCAAGAAUCAAUACUAGACCGAGUUUGGAGAUGCAUCACCGAUCAAGAACAGAAUAAGGGAAUUAUUGGCUUAUAUGGUAUGGGGGGCGUCGGCAAAACUACUCUGUUAAAGCAAGUCAAUAACAAAUUCUGCAGUGAUGAACAGCAUCAUUUUGGUGUCGUUAUCUGGUCGGUUGUGUCGAGAGAGCCAAACUUGAAGCAGAUUCAAGUGGAUAUUGGAAAAAGGAUAGGCUUCUCAACAGAUUCAUGGCAGAGAAAAAGUUUUGAAGAAAGGGCUUCAGACAUCACCAACGCUUUAAAGCAUAAGAAGUUUGUAUUGUUAUUGGAUGAUAUAUGGGAGUCCAAAAUUGAUUUAACCGAAUUGGGCGUCCCUCUUCAAAGAUUAGAUUCUGGGUCCAGAAUAGUUUUCACAACUCGUUUUCGUGGUACUUGUGGUGAAAUGGGAGCUGACGAGCGGUUCGAAGUGUCCUGUUUGGGAGAUGACGAUGCCUGGAAAUUUUUUGAGGGGGUGGUUGGGAGAUACGUUCUCGACAAGCAUCCCGACAUUCCGGAGCUAGCCAAAGCUAUGGCAAGGCAGUGUCAUGGUUUGCCGCUAGCACUCAAAACAGUAGGUAAUGCCAUGGCGAGCAAAGAGUACCCUCAAGAAUGGAGUCACGCCAUUGAGAUCAUAAGCAGAUCAGCUUCUAAAUUCAAAGAUAUGGAAAAACAGGUGCUUUCGCGUUUGAAGUUCAGCUAUGAUAGUUUGCCCACUGACGAACUUCGUUCUUGUCUCUUGUACUGUUGUUUAUUUCCGGAAGACUCUGAAAUUCCAAAAACCGACUUGAUGGAGUAUUGGAAAAGUGAAGGAUUUGUGGAUUCUAGCAGCGGGUGGGGGGUUCUUGGUGCUCUCCUUCGUGCAUGCUUAUUGGAGGAAGCAGGCUUAGUGGACGAAGGAGGUAAUCGUGUAAAAAUGCACGAUAUGAUUCGUGACAUGGCAUUAUGGAUAGCAAAUGAAAUAGAGGAGGAGGAGGAGAACUUCUUGAUUCGUGCAGGAGUUGGAUUAACUGACGCCCCAAAGAUUGAAGAAUGGGAAGGGGUCAAAAGGAUAUCCUUGAUGGAGAACAAAAUUCAAAGUCUACCACAAAUUCCCACUUGUCCGCGUCUCCAGACUUUGCUUCUAAAUCGAAAUCAUAUUGCGAAGAUCACUGACAGUUUCUUUCAAUCUUUGCCUUCGCUUAGAGUUUUGAAUCUAAGUGGAAAUCAUUACCUAACUGAACUACCUGUAGGAAUUUCAAGUUUGGUUUCAUUACACCAUCUUGAUCUGUCUUAUACUCCCCUAACUGAACUUCCUGUAGGGAUUUCAAGUUUGGUUUCAUUACACCAUCUUGAUCUGUCUUCUACUGAAGUACGUGGGUUGCCGCAAGAGCUCAAGGCAUUGGUGAAUCUGAGAUAUUUGAACUUGGAGUAUACACGUAAAAUGUCUAGAAUUCCAGAGCAAUUGAUAUCAAGCUUUCCAAAGUUACAGGUGCUCAGGAUGCUGAGUUGCGGUUCUGAGAUAUUUCCAAUAGUGGAAGAAGGCAACGUUCUAUCCGAUGGUGCUGAACCAUUGAUUAAGGAAAUCCACUGUUUGGAACAAUUAAAUCUCAUCACCUUGUCCUUACGUGGUACGCGUGGUGUUGAAAACUUUUUGAAAUUCCCAAAGCUGCAGAAUAUCACUCAAGCUCUGUCCAUCGAACACUGCAACAGUCUACCGCUCAAUUUGUUGCAUCUAUCAAACAUGGAGCAUCUUGAGAAGCUACACAUCGAGGAAAGUAAUUUGGAAGACUGGAAUGUCGACUGCGCAGGCGAGGUACAAAAAAUGCGUAAACUUCACUUUGUUACAAUAUACGAAUGCUCAAAUGUGAAGGACUUUACGUGGCUUGUUUUUGUUCCAAAUCUCAAGUGGCUACGAAUAUGUUAUUGUGAUGACAUGGAAGAAAUAAUCAGUGUUGAAAAAUUGAGUGAAGUUUCGGAGAUGAUGGGAGAGCUUAACUUGUUCUCAGAACUCGAACUUCUGGUAAUAAGAAAUGCAAGUAAUUUGGAGCGCAUCUACCGCGUUCCCUUGCCCUUUCCACAGCUGAAGGUAAUUGACAUAUCGGAAUGCCCAAAGUUGAAGAAGCUCCCGCUCAAUUCCAGCAGCGCAAAGGGACGUAAAAUUGUCAUUUACGGGGAGAAAGAAUGGUGGGAAGAGCUACAAUGGGAGGAUCAAGCCACUCAAAAUGCUUUCUCUCCCUGUUUCCUACCUGAUGAAUAAUAAAGUGCAAUAAGGCGCAAAAGUGUGAAUAAAAUUUCUGCGUGUGCUUAAUGUUAGGCACUAUUAUUCAGGCUUAAAUAAUAACAAUAAAAUACUACACCGUGUCUGCUUUCUUUUACUUUUCUUGGUUCUGUUGUAAAAUUCAGUUCUAUUUGAAGGAAAUUAUUAACAUCAAAACUAAAUACUUCGUGAGCAUCUACUGACAACAUACUCCAGAUGACACCAUAACCAUAUCAUAUAAAGCAAGAAAUGUGAAAUAAAUACAAAAUGAAUCACAGGAGGAAAUCACCACACUCUGCGGUCUCUCCUGCUAAACCCUGCAGUUAGAAUGCCAUUUGUCGUGAGCACCUGAAUCCCCAAAGGACUCCCAGCUUCAAGUGGCUUUGACUUAGCUUGCUUUAGCUCCAUUGCACAUACUCACUCACAUGGAGGAAAUGAACAGAACAAGAAACCUCAUCAAGCCGAAUAUGAUAGAUAUGACAAGGCAUUACACUGUAGGAAGCUCCCGAUUUCUCUAAAAAACUUUGCAGGUUCUCCGCAAUCAAGGCGUGCUCCAUCUUUAACAGAUCACUUCUACCAUUAAGAGAAGGGAGAGAGUUCCUCUCGUGUGACAGUAAAUCCUUACUUAACACAGGAUUGGAGCCAACCAAGAAGGGAAGGCAAUUUCGUUAGAUUAAGAACCGAAUCACCAUCCAAAAUAGUAGCAUUUGAACCAGAACUCUUGUUAAAUUCUUGAAAUCUCCUGCUUUCAUCAGUCUGUAAGAGAAAUGAAGAUGAGAAUAAUAGCCAGAACCGGAUUAAAUUCAAUCUGGUCUUUUGAAGACUUCUAUAACAACUAAGAGAACCCAGUGUACCGCCUACAGAUACUGUCAGGCUUCUAUCAAAUAUCCCAAACACCAAAAACAAACCAAAUUAAGCUAACAAACCUGCAUGAAUAUCUAAAUUUCAAUGCACAUGAAACAAACUCCGUCUUCAAUCCACCAAAACUAGCAAAUUUCAAACUUUAUCCCUCAUCACUCUCUCUCUGUCAGCUGUAUGAGGCUACGAGAUCAUGUUAUAAUGUUCAUAUUGAUGCUGAAUGUUUUGCCAGCUUGUCUGAAUUCCAUAAGAGAAUGCAAUUUGCACAUUAUUGUGCCUUGCCCACCAUUAGAUUCUAAACCACAAAAUCAUUGUGUGAGUAGCUGACGUUUCGCACAUUCUUAUCCCUUAUCAUCAAUAUUCUUCUCCUCAAGCUUAGAUCAUGGAAAUUUGAGUGACAAACAUGAUAACAUGGUAACACCAUCUAAACUUUAGGGGCAUAAAGUAACAUAGAAGCAACAUGGGAUGUUUUAAAAUCUAUUAUAAUUUGCUUAGGCCCCUGAAUAAAAUUAAAACUUGAAAUGAAAUAAAGUAGCAAAAUAAAGAUUGGAGGUCGCAUGCUUGAUAUUUGAUGCUGUCAAAAUUAAUUUGCAGUGCUGAAAUUGCUGCUCCAAUAAAUUUUUCAAUGGGAUUUCUAUAUUUACAACAAAUUUUCAGUAUUGAAACAGGAUUAAAAUCAUAAAGUGUCUUUUAAACAGCAGAGGCAACAAGAUCCUACAGAAAAAGAAGGCAAAAAGUAGUUACAAGCUACAGAAACGCAAAUAUUCUACUGGCCCACUCCCACUAAAUUCGAAGCGAUUCUAAAAUCUCAGCUUGUACUACUACAUCAUUCCUUCUAUGUGGCCCAACUGUACUUCACCCAGAAAUCACAUUUCUUCAUCAGAGAUAAUUUUACUUCUAAUCAGAGAUUAUUUUUUAUAUGCAUGGCUUUACAGUAAUGAAUAAUUUUCCUUAAAUCUUUUCUAACAGACAAGAAAGCACAAAGCACAAAAAUUCAUAUAAACAACUUUUCUCGAAGCUUUUUCAUAAGAAAACCUGAACAUGAUUGCUUCUCUUAGAAGGCCCCCUAGCUUCCUGCAAGAACCUGGUGUUCCAAAAAAAAAUGAUUAUAAUUAGGCAUAAGGUCCUAAUGUUCUUGCAGGAAUUAUGAUGAAUAUCAGGGUUUCAAAAAAAAAAAAAUUAAGACAACGAUUACGGAUUUAAAGCACACAGAAUUUACACUUUUCUCCAUGUGAUUUAAAAGCACACAGAAUUCUCCUGACCUUAAUUGAAAUCCAAUAUUGUAGACUCAUUGUUGUAGCUAGAAAAUCAUAUUAAUAGAGUAAAAUUUAUAAAUAAUCAAAGAAAAGAGUUCACGCUCUUACUUCAUUACUUUUAUAAUCUUAUUAGUAUAUCAACUUACAUGUCUUCAGAAAAUACAGUUUUAAGGGGAUAUUUUUAUGGUUGUAGAUAUUUUUAUUUUUCUUCUUAAUAAUAGAUUUAAUUUUCAUAUUUCUAAUGUUAAGUUGCAGAUUUGGACUAAAUCAGAUUAAAUUUCAAAUUAGAUCACCGACCUUAUUUUAAUAGGUUCAAUUGGAUUUUGGACAUCUAAUUAAACAACUGGAAUAAUAAAUUGCAAAUGAAUGAGAUUUAUAUGUGAUUUUAAAAUAAAAUUUGAACUCAAAUCUAUGUAUUCAAUUAAUCCAACAGGACAAAUUUAUAAUUUCCACCAACUAAAUAAAAUAUGUUAUCAGAAACUUUUGGAUCAAGUCGGGGCAGUGUAUUACUUCGUGGGUCUGCUACUACUUAUAGUCCAUUCUCAUUUCAACUUUCACAUCUUUUAUAUUAUGUACAAAUUGGAUUAUAUUCUAAAAAAGUGUUUCUAAUUGUUUAACGUUUUAUUUCUGGGUAUAUUUAGAGAUUAAAAAAUAUGGGAAACAUAAUCAAUUUUAUCAAAUAAAAAGGAGUAUUGUUCAUUUUUUCAUAAACAAUGUGUUAAAAUACUUUUGGUUUUUAAGAAGUAACAAUUUUUAUUUUCAUAAAAUAGCAUUCAAAAUUAUAUUAAAUAAAAUUAAAGAUUAACAAAACUGACAUCUGAAUUUCGUGUAAAUUAUAAUAAGUUUGUCUCCAGCAUGAGUAACAUUAAAGCUUGGCUAGCAUCAUCAUAUUUUAUCUCCAGCAUCAAAAUUCUGAUAACAUCAACAUCAUAAUUCCAAGGUUGUCAAACUAAUCAUCUCAAAAUGUCAUUAUACUUAUAGCGUGCUGGCAUUAUCUUUACUUUCUGCAUCAAAAUUCUUUUAUUUAAUACACUUUUAUUUCAUACAAUUUUUUAUCAAAUUAAGAUCCUUUGUGAUCUAAACUCUCUUGAACUUUUAAAAAUCUUAUGCCACCUCUUCUUUAGUAAUAGUAAUAGUAAUAAUAUGAUUAUGAUUUAAUUAUUUUAUUUUUUAAUUUAUCAAACACCAAUCACUUAAAUUUAACUCAAGAAAAAAUUAGAACAUCAAAGAAUUUUAAUUGCUUCUUAUUAAGUACUAGAAUUAACUUCUCCCAAUGAUAAUUUAUUAAGCAGACCAUAAUGAUCAUCUUACGCUAAAGAACCAACCCAUCUUCAAAACACAAGAAUUUAGUACAAAUAAUUAUCCCAAUAAAGUUUAACGAAAAAGCAAAGAGAUAUUUUUAUUAUUUCUUUUACUUUCCUAGUGGCUCUGCUACUACCUAUAGGCUAUAGUCCAUUCUUAUUCAACAUUCAGAUCUUUUAUAUUAUAUGCAAAUUAAAAUAUAUUCUAAAAAGUGUAUCCAACUGGUUAACAUAUUAUUUCUAGAUAAUAAUCAAUUUUAUCAAAUAAAAAAGAGUUUUUGGUCAUUCAUUUGGCUCCGUUGCCACUUGUACGUUACAAAAGCUUUUGUCUAUGCUGACUCAGUUACUGUAAAAUGUCGUUCAGCCCCUUAUACUCUAUGUUAUUUAUAAUUUAUUUAUAAGAAUUAUGAAAAUUUCUACUUACCUACACUAUCAAAAUUCAAUUUAUCUCCUCACAAUCUUUUUCAUUUACUAUUUUUUUCUAAGUAUUAAAAGAGUUCUAUUUACAACCACGACAUAUUAAUCAUCAUAACACACAAAUAUUAAUAAAAAGAUAAAAAUAUCCUUAAAUUAAUACUAAAAAUGCUUUCCUCUCUUCUUUAUAAUAUCAUAUUAUAAUAAUUAAUACUUUCAUGAUAAAAGAAUUAAAAAAAUAAAAAUAAAUUCCCUUUGAAUCCAUCCCUCUCUAAUAUCAUUUUCUCUUCAUUAGGAACAUUUAUCGACAAUUGAAGCCACCAUCAGACUCAUCACACAGAGAGAGUGAGAGAGGGGAAGAAGAAACAGAGAAAAAAUAUAUGAGACAUUUACAAUUUUAUAGUGUGUUUAUUCAACGGGAUUUAUAUAUAGUUGCUAAGGGGUUUCAUCAGACACAAGGAGUUGAUUACACUGAAACUUUUAGUCUAGUAGUUAAGGCUUCAACAGUCAAAGUUAUUCUUAGCCUAACAGUACUUAACAAGUGAAUAAGCAGACAAGUGGAUGUUAAUAAUGUCUUCCCCUAGCAGUACUUAACAAAUGAAUAAUCAGACAAGUGGAUGUUAACAAUGCCUUCCUUAAUGGCAUUUCAGUUGAAGAAGUUUACAUGGCACAACCUGAGGGGUUUGUGGAUCCUACUAAACCCCAACACAUCUGCAAAUUAAAAAGGACUAUAUAUGGCUUGAAGCAAGCUCCCAGGCUUGGUUUGACAAAUUCAAAGCUGCAAUGAUUACUCAAUGGCAUUUUCAACACUCAAAAUCAGAUAAGUCUCUCUUCUAUAAAUGGAUCAAUGGUCAUGUAAUUCUAGUUCUGGUUUAUGUUGAUGAUAUCAUACUCACUGGUUCAAAUUCUUACUUAAUUCAGCCAGUCAUUCAAGACAUGCAUCACACCUUUGCUUUAAAAGACUUGGGAGCUCUUAACUAUUCUCUAAGAAUUGAAGUGGUUAAAUUAGCAAAUGGCAUUUAUCUGUCUCAAGCAAAAUAUAUUGCUAAUAUAUUGGCAAACAUGAUAUGGUUCACUGCAGUCCAUUACAUAUUCCUAUGUCUACCAGUCACUACCUCACAAAAGAUUCAAGUGACAUUAUUGCAAAUGUGUCUCAGUACAGAAGUAUCUUAGGUGCAUUGCAAUAUGUUACUCUUACAAGGCUUGACAUAACAUAUAUAGUUAAUAAACUAAGUUAGUUUUUAUUUAGUCCUCGAACACAACAUUGGGAGGCUCGCAAAAGGUUGCUAAGGUACUUAAAAAGAAUUUUACAUCUUCGAUUGCAUUAUUACACAAAUGGAGCUAUGCAGAUACAUUAUUUCAUAGAUUCUAAUUGGGCAUGUGAUAGGGAUGACAGGAAAUCACUUGCUAGUUUUGCAGUCUAUCUAGGUCCCAAUUUAGUCUCAUGGUCAUCCAAGAAACAAGCAGUGGUAUCAAGGUCAAGUAUAGAAGCAGAAUAUAGAGCAUUAGCUCAUGCUACUUCAGAGGUCAUGUGGAUACAAUCUCUUCUUAGUGAGUUGCAAAUUAAACUUAGCACCACUCCCAUAAUAUGGUGUGAUAAUCAAGAAGCUAUUGCCUUAGCAUACAAUCCAUUUUAUUAUGCCAAAACCAAACAUGUUGAGCUAGAUAUACACUUCAUUCGAGACAAAGUUGUAGCUAAGAGCAUUGAGGUUAGUUAUGUGCCCAGUGAAGGUCAACCAACUGAUGUAUUAACCAAAGCUCUCACUUUUAAGCAGUUUCAUUGCUUGUGAAGCAAGCUGAAUGUCUAUCCUGGACAUUUUAGCUUGAGGAGGGAUGUUAGUGAUAUUGAAUUUCAAGCAAAGCAGAGCACAAAAUCAUUAUAUGACUGACCACAACUGAUUCACUCAUUAAGCUAACUUGGCAAGUUAGUUAUACAGCUCACCUCACAUGUAUCAAAUUUCGCGUGUGUAUAACAGAUUGUAUGAAUCAUUUAGCUUGCUAUAUAAAUAUGUAAUGUGUACUCAGUUUUCAAUUAGUUAAUUACAAAGGAAUCUUAUAUUUGCUUCUAUACAAAUUCUCUUUACUUUUCUUUCAUUUUCUUGCCAAACAACACUUUCUUUAGAAUUCUUUCAUGAAAGGCAAUGAGACAAAAAUGUAAAGAAGAAGAAAUUGAAGAUAGGGUAGGGCUAUUGGCUCUCUAAAAUUUAUUUUGGACAUUGAUGUGAUCUUUAAAAAAAAAUUACAUAAUUUUAUUCUUAGGUUAUGUUUAUCUCUUUGAGUUGUUAUCAUAGUUCAUUUUGAUUAAAUAAAAGUAGUUGUUGUAUUAACAUAAUUCUAAUGAACAUAGGUUUUAUUGUGCUUUUAAUCUUUAGGUCCAACUUCUGUAAGAUAGUAUUUAAACCAGCAUCAAUGUCAAUAAUAGCAGGCUGAAAUGUUUCUUUUGGAGACUGAAUAGUUGUAUUGGGAGAUAUGUCCCUCAAAGUACCAAAAACAUAUUUAUUAAAGCUUAGUUUCCUUGAAUUUGCCCAUUUAUCACUUGUUCUUUUUAUUUUGUUUGAUUUCCUGUUGUAAUAAUUUGUGUCUGUAAGACUAUAACAGACACUCACAUUUUAAUAGUUCUUUAUAUCACUAAAUUAACCUUAAUGUAAAAUUAACCGUAAUGUAAUUUACUAUUAAGGACAAUUUAAUAAAAUAUAGUUCAAUAAAUUUUUAUCCAACAUCUUAUUUUAUCUACAAUAAACUAGAUAAACAAUGAAGAAAUGAAUAAAAGUUCACGUGAAAACGAUGUCUAUACUUAUGGGCUAAACCUUUUUUUUUCAGUUUUUUUGUUAAUAGAAUUGUUAGGAAAACAUCAUGUAACACGUUCCAUCUUUUGUAACAAAAGGAAUUAAAAACAGAGGUGGAGGAAGAACAAUAAAUUGCACCACUACAACAUAUGAAAAACGAAAGAAAUCAAAGGAUAAAAUCUGUUUCAAAUUUGUUUUCUGAUCUUCACUCAAUCUAAUCUGCAUGCUUUCAUGGAUUUGAAAAACAAAAUUGAAUUGCGACAUUAAAGAGAAGAACAAACAUAUGUCAAACCAUAUUAUGAAAGCAAAAUAAAAGUUGAUAAAAAAUGAAAAAAAGUUCAAACAUUUUGUUUGUGAUGAUGAAUAUUUUAUUAGAUGUAAAGAGGAAAUAAGAUAAUUAAAGAAAUGGGUAAUGAGAACAAUAAAGGAAGUCGAAAAAUAUUUCAAAUACAAAUUAAUAUUUUGAAAUUAUUAAUUGAGUGUUCAAAAUAAAUUUUAGAAUGUAAGAAGUGCAUCGCUGCCCAUUUCUUUGAUGAACCCAGUAGAAACAGCUUUAAAAUUAUAGAAACUGUAAAACGCUGUAAAAGUGAAAACUUUAAAAAGCUUGCUCUAGUAUUUAAACCUUUAAUAGUGCAAAGUCACAAGUCUUGCAGCUAGUUGAUAUAUCCCCAAGCUAAAAACAUGUGUUGUAUACUCAUUUUUUAUAGUGAUACUAGAACUAUUAUUAUCUUAUGUCUAUGUACGUAUGUUUACAAUUUAUUUCAUAAAUUUACUGAGACAAGUGCCGAAAUUUAUGGCGAAGUACGUCCAAUCUAUUGUCACUAAGGCCCUAUUUGGUAUUUAGAUAAUGUAGUUUUUGUGAAAAAAAAUAAUGUAAUUAAGAAAUAAAAAUUAAUAAUAUAUAGUAAUAUGACUUGUAAAUAAUAAUUUGAAAAAAAUAAUAAAGAAUUAUAAGUUUUUUCAAAAUAAAAGUGGUGGAUCAAAUUAAUUUAGCUUUCAAGUCAUAGCAAGUAGUGUUUAUCAAAUAUAAAAAGUUAUAAUUAUCCAAUCUCAAUCAGAACCUGAGCAUUUUUAGCAAAAACAAUACUUUUAUUCUAUAUUUUACAAAUAUCUUCACCAUUAUUCAGAGCACCAACCCUUAACUUUUUUCGAUUAUGUUUGGUAUAACUUUUUAAGCAGAACUUUUACUAAAAAAAAUAAUUGUUUGAUUGUCAAUGAGAUUUUUUAUUAAAAUUUCUAGAAUUACUUUAAUAGGCAAAUUUCUUAAAGUUAUGUUAUGAAAUGAAUAAAAUAAAAUUGUGAAAUAUAUAAAGCAUAUUUUAGACAAUAUAAUAUUUUUAAAAAAUUUUAACCUCUACUCCACAAAAUUUAAAAUUUAAACUUUUAUUAGUACAAAUAAAAUAAUUUAUUUAAUUUUUUAAAAAUUUUACUCAAAUUAUAAUUAAAUAAUAUUAAGUCUUAAAAAAAAGUUAUAAGAUUAAAUAAAUAUAUUUGACUGAACAUACACUAACUUGAACUCUUGAAAAAUAAAUAUUUUGCGCCACAUAAGUAGGGUCCAAUUAUGUUGCAACUGAUGUAUUAUACCAGAGUUCCUCUUUUUUUCCCCGUAUUAUUGGAUAAUUGAUGCAAAUUAAGCAAAGUUGUUGGGUGCUUCUCGUUCAAUCUAGCAGUUGAAAUUAAUUAUUGGAUAAUUGAUGCAGCGACUAGCAACCGUUGCAGCCGGUUGUAUAUUAAUUUAAUAGCAGUUCAGCGAGCGUGGGUUUCGAAAAUUUGUUAGUGCUGAUUAGAGUCUCACUGAUUUCAUCUGAAAAUUGAUCUCGAGACAUCAAUUAAGACAUAAAAUUAGAAUUAGGGGAUCGCAGUUUUUUUGGGAAUUAAAAUUUCCCUAUGAUUCAUACAUGAAUAUGGCCUCUCACUUGUAGGGAAUUGACGGUGAAAUUAUAAUCGUCACAGCAGAAUGCAAUCAAAAGUUACGGUGCUAAAAGUUUAGGCAUAUAUCAAAUUAGAGUGAAUCUCGCAUCACUUUGAUUUGGUCUUAUGCCGAUCGAAUCACCUGAUGCAGUAUGUAAUUCCUUAUUAAAACUUGCAAUUUUUUAUUUUGAAAAGAUUUAAAAUUUGUAAUUUCAUUACAGAAAUGAGGCGGGGGCUCACAAACAGAAAGCUAGCGAUUUAAAGAGCCACAGUCAAGCUUUAGAAGCCGAUGGUAACAUAGUUAGAACAAUAGAAUCUGAUAGCGUUAGGGAUUCAUAAGCUAUUUGUAAGUAUUUGUACUCCCUGACUAAAUAAUUUGGGAAUAUAAGGAUGCAAUAAGAGUUGAGUGGUCUUUAUUCCAAUAGCAUUAUUUUUUUCGAGCUUCAUCCGUGCUCUAUUCAAUCUUUAUGUGCCGCUUGUGUUAUGUUCCUGCAUAUCUAAUUACCUUUAGAUGCUAGUUGAUAUUUGACAAUUUUGCAGGUUAAGGAUAUUAGAUGGGAUGCAGAGCUUGGCAGUCAGAACAUGGAAUCACGGUUGGUUGAAUACUUUGUAGAUGAGUUUAAUAAACAAGUUGGUAAUUGGGUGAAGUGAGGAAGUCUCCCAAGGCCAUGGCUGAACUGAAGAAGCAAGUUAAAUAUACAAGAGCAAUUCUUUGUGCGAACACAAUGGAACCAAUAUCAGUUAUAUCUUUCCACGAUGAUAGGGACUUCAGAUAAGUGGAGUUAAAGUUCAGAUUUUACUGUUUGAGGUGCGUUUGAAGUUUAUUAACAAAAUUAAUGUGUUCUUUAAAUGAGUGAGGAACUGUAGAACAUGACAAGUAGAGUUUAUUGUGUGAGGGAUGCAUAUUCUCUUACAAGUGCUUUGUUCUUUAAUAUAGCACUAUAAGACAUCUUCUGAUGAAAAAUAGAGUCAAUAAAAUUACUCCAGACUGACUGGGCCGUUACGUUUUGGAUUCCAAUUCUUGCAUGAGAUUUCUUUUUCCUUUUUUUCUUUUUUCAAAUUUACUAGUGGUACUUUCAUUUGGUAAACUAUUCUAUACAUACAUAUAUAUAUAUAUAUAUAUAUAUAUAUAUAUACUCUAAUCAAUUAUAUUGGCUUAUUCUCCUUUUAUGUUGAUUCACGCUGCUGGUAUAGAUAAAAUUUAUUUAUUAGUUUUGGUGAAAAAUUUGUUUUGUUGCACACGGAUAGUAAACCCAAAUACAUUCAUAUGUGUUAGAGCAGCUCAUUAUGCUGAACAGAAGAAGGUGAAGACUAAGAUGAAGAAAAUACAGAGCAAGUUACAGGGCAAGUGUGUCAGCAGUGCCAGCUCAGCUAACAGCUCAGCAGAUUAGUUAAAGAUGGUUGUAAGCAUGAUGUGCAUUGUACUGAAGUUAGUUAGCUUUGAUUACAGUUAGUCUUUGGAUUAGUUAAAUGAAGUUACCGUGAUUGCAUUGUAUAUAAACAUGUGAUGCUUUGUAAAAAGGUUAAGCAAAAUAAAAAUCAAAGUUUGUUAAGGAAAUAUCUCCAGAAUUAUCAAUUCAUUUUCUUAGUAACCAAACAACUUUAUUUUCAUUUUCUUUCAUGGUAUCAGAGCCACUCUAAUGGCUAGUUCCAGUAGCACAACAUCAAAUCCAAAUCAAAUGAAUAUAAAUCAAUCAUCACAUAUCUCCUUUUCGUUCAGCACUCCAGUCAAAUUGGAUCGAUCAAAUUUCAUGAUUUGGCGAAAGCAAGUUCUUACUACAAUAAGAGGAAAUCGUCUUGAAGAUUUUAUUUCUGGAAAUCAAAUCAUACCAGAACAAUACAUUUCUAAUACAGUAGCUGAUGGAUCAGUACAGAGAAUCACGAAUCCAGCUUACAUCAACUGGCGAGCUCAGGAUCAAACUUUGCUUGGCUGGAUUUUGUCAUCCAUAAGUGAAGGUAUCUUAAAUACUGUUCUUAAUUGCGAAAAUUCAUUUGAAGCAUGGAGAUCAAUUGAAAAACAAUUUGGAGUACAAUCUGAGGCUAGAGUUAUGCAAUUGAGGUAUGAAAUGAAUGUCCUUAGAAAAGAGAAUAUGUCUAUUGAGGAGUACUGUUUAAAAGUAAAAGUUGUUGCUGAUAAGCUUGCUUGUGCUGGUAGCCCUGUGUCUGAGAAAGAUCUGCUAAUGCAAAUUUUGAAUGGCCUAGGACCUGGAUUUCUAGAUCUUGCUUCAAUAAUUACUGCUAAUAGAAUGUCGUAUGAUGAUGCUUAUGCAUUACUCUUAACACAUGAGGCAAGAAUGGAACAAAAUCAUAAUACUAAAGAUCUUUUUAGUGCAAACUAUGGGAUGAUGAAUGCUAACUACUCUCAGUUUAGAGGAAAUAAUAAGAGAGGUGGUUAUAGUGGAUAUCAAGGGCAAUUUAAUGCUGGAAAUAGGAAUCAAAAUGGAGGAAGAGGAAUGUUUUUCAAUUCAUUCUCAAGAGGUUUUCCAGCUGGUGGAUAUACUGGUAAUGCUGGUGGCAGAGGACAGCAAAUGAAUGCAUAUGCUUAUAAACCUGUGCUUAACAACAGGCAUAAUUUCAAUAUGAAUCAUGGCUCAACUUCAAUGUCCAAUGGAAAUGGAUCUGAUGAUAAUGUGCUUAUCUGUCAAAUCUGUCAUAAAGCUGGACAUGCAGCUGAUGUUUGUUGGCACAGACACUUUGAUGGCUAUGCUCCUCAACCCAGACAAUUUGGAAGGGGCAGAGGGCAUAAGUCUGCUUAUAUGGCUAACUUUGAUCCACAAAUUGGCUUUACUUCACAAUUUGAAGAUUCAUUUGCUACAGAAUAUCCUGGUUAUCAUGGGUACCAUCCACCUGAUAUGAAUGCAUCAGUUGCAUCAGUAAGUCAUCACUCAUCUGAUAUGCAUUCUGUACCUGGAGCAGCUUAUAUUGCAAAUUUUGAAGGACCAGCUGAUGAAGGGUGGUAUCUUGAUAGUGGAGCUACGCAUCACAUCACUAACAACAUGGCCAAUAUGCAUAUCAGAGAUCAAUUCACUGGAGCAGAUCAGCUCAUUAUUGGAAAUGGACAAGGUUUGCCCAUAACUCAUGUUGGUGAUGCAUCCUUUCUCUUUAAAAGUUCCAAUUCUACACACAAACACUCACCUAUAGUACUUAAAGAUAUUCUGUUGGUGCCUUCCAUUACCAAAAAUUUGUUAAGUAUCUCGAAGCUUACCACUGAUAACAACUUGUCUGUUGAAUUUCUUGGAAAUGUUUGUUUUGUGAAGGAUUCUCUGAGGGGACAGGUACUUCUGCAGGGUCUUGCUGAGAAAGGGUUAUACAGGCUGUUAUUGAAAUCAUCAUCAUCCUCUCAGUUAUCAUCAUCUUUUCUUUCUCACAUGUGUUCCAAUAAACCUUUGUCUAUGCUUUCUUGUUGUUGUUUCAAUUCUGUUCCUUCUGGAGUUGUUACAGAAUCUCAGAAAUCAUGUAAUCAAACUGAUGAUUCAUCUUGUAAAACUUCAGUUAAUAAAGCUAUUUUGCUUCAUAGAAAGUUUGGUCAUCCCAAUCAUCAAAUAUUAACUCAUAUACUCAAAACAGCAAAAUCUAUUCAUUUACCUGCAUAUCAAAAGCAACAAAUGCAUCAGUACAUCUGUGAGGCCUGUCAAAUGGGCAAAACACAUAAACUUCAUUUUCCAAUUACUGAAACCAAAACCUCCAAAACUCUAGAACUUAUACACACUGAUUUAUGGGGUCCUUCUCCCAUUAUUUCUAGAGAUGGUUAUCAGUAUUAUAUAAGUUUUGUAGAUGACUACAGCAGGUAUACAUGGAUUUAUCCUUUGAAGCUAAAGUCUGAGGCAUUAGAAGUCUUUAAGCUCUUUAAACUGCAGGUUGAAAAUCAGUUUAGCACAACCAUUAAGAUGAUGCAAUCUGAUUGGGGGGGAGAGUAUAGACCAUUCACUGAGUUUUUAAGCCAAUUUGGUAUCAUCUUUAGACAUCCUUGUCCUUACACUCAUCAUCAAAAUGGGUUAGUUGAAAGGAAGCAUAGACAUAUUGUUGAAUUGGGUCUGACUCUCUUAGCUCAAGCUCAACUUCCCUUUAAGUUCUGGUGGGAUGCAUUUCAUACUGCUGUAUAUCACAUCAACAGACUUCCAUCUCCUGUUUUGCACCUUUUAACCCCAUAUGAAAAGACAUUCAAACACAAACCUGAUUAUGAUUUUCUCAGAUGUUUUGGGUGUUCUUGUUAUCCUUACUUGAGAGAUUACAAUAAACAUAAAUUUGCCUACCAUUCUAGUAAGUGCAUAUUCAUUGGUUACAGUCCUUCACAUAAGGGCUACAAAUGUUUACACCCUUCAGGUCGAGUCUAUGUGGCAAGACAUGUUACCUUUGAUGAAUCAGUUUUUCCUUAUGCCACUGAGUUUGUUUUUCAUAGUCAUGCUAAAACUGAUUCUCAAAUUUCUCAUUCCCAUACACCACAGCAAAUCCAUCAUAUCUCUUCUUUGCCUGUCAAUAACAGCACUGGUAAUCUGAACUCUGUAAGAUCUGGAAGCAGCAGUUCAAGUCACUCAGAUCAUCUAGAACAGACAGCAACUGAUCAGAAUUCACAACAAGCUACCAUAAAUGACAGGUCACCUUUUCAUACAUGUCCAACAAUUGUUGAAUCUAUACAAAAUAUUCCAGAACCUCCACAUCACUCUUUGCCUAUACAAAGUCACCAUCCUAGCAACACUUCUUUCUAUCCAUAUACACAACCAAAUACACAUCAGAUGAUAACCAGAAGUAAAGCAGGGAUUUUCAAACCCAAAAUUUAUACUGCUGUGCUUACUCACAAGGAACCAGAUACUGUGCAAGAAGCAUUAAAUGAUUCAAAGUGGCUACAAGCUAUGAGGGAGGAAUAUGAUGCCUUGAUUAAGAAUAAUACAUGGACAUUGGUUCCAAGACAAGCUGAUCAGCAUGUGGUUGGAAAUAAAUGGGUGUAUAGAAUCAAAUAUAAUACAGAUGGAAGUGUAGCUACGUAUAAAGCUAGACUUGUUGCAAAGGGUUUUCAGCAAGUGGCAGGGAUUAACUAUUUUGAGACAUUUAGCCCAGUUGUGAAGUCAGCUACAGUUAGAGUAAUACUUAGCUUGGCAGUGAUGAAUCAGUGGAGAAUAAGGCAAGUGGACGUCAAUAAUGCCUUUUUGAAUGGAGAGCUAACAGAAGAAGUUUUCAUGUCUCAACCUGAUGGCUUUAUUGAUGCUCAGAGAUCUGAUUUUGUAUGCAAAUUACACAAGUCUCUGUAUGGGCUCAAGCAAGCUCCUAGAGCCUGGUAUGACAAGCUUAAAGGAUGCUUAAUAAGCUGGGGUUUCACUACUACUAGUUCUGACACCUCAUUGUUUGUUAGGAAGAUCAAGACAUCUAUGAUCAUAGUUCUUAUAUAUGUUGAUGACAUACUGAUCACAGGUCCAAAUACUGAGGAGCUGGAAGGUUUCAUAACUGAAUUCAGCAAAACUUUUGCUCUAAAGGAUCUGGGAGUGUUAUCUUAUUUCCUUGGAAUUGAGGUAUUAUAUGAUGCAGAUUGUAUGUACUUGUCACAGAGAAAGUAUAUCAGAGAUUUGUUAUCGAAGGUAGAAAUGACUGAAUGUAAGGGCAUUGAUACACCCAUGAGUACUGGCUCUAAACUGCAAAAGAUAGUUCAGGGGGAACUUGGAUACUAUCUUGAAGAUCCAACUCAUUAUAGGAGCAUAGUUGGAGGAAUGCAGUACCUGAUACUUACCAGACCUGAGAUUGCGUUUGCUGUAAACAAGCUCAGUCAGUAUGUAGCUGCACCAACACUACAACAUCUAAUGGCAUGCAAGAGAGUUCUAAGAUAUCUAAAGGCAACUCAAGAUUAUGGUUUAAAAUUUUUCAGAGAAGGAAGCUUAACACUCACUAGUUUUACUGAUGCAGAUUGGGCAUGUGACUUAGAUGAUAGGAAAUCAGUUGGUGCUUAUUGCAUUUAUUUAGGCAAUAAUUUGAUAUCCUGGUCUUCUAAGAAACAAUCAGUGAUAACCAGAUCAAGUGCCGAGAGUGAGUAUAGAGCUUUGGCAUCAGUGAGUGCAGAGCUGACAUGGUUACAAUCCUUAUUUUCUGAGUUGGGAUUAAGUUGCAUAGAAAAGCCAAUCAUAUGGUGUGACAACAUUAGUGCCACUGAACUAGCAAAGAAUCCUGUGUAUCAUUCAAGAACAAAGCAUAUCGAAAUUGAUAUGCACUUCAUUAGGAAUAAGGUUCUUGCUGGUGAGUUGAUUAUUCACUAUGUACCAAGUGAAGAACAGAUUGCAGACAUAAUGACCAAGCCUCUUUCAUUUGUAAGGUUUAACUACUUGAGGUCCAAACUCAAUGUCCAUCUUUGUCCUCUGAGUUUGAGGGGGGCUGUUAGAGCAACUCAUUAUGCUGAACAGAAGAAGGUGAAGACUAAGAUGAAGAAAAUACAGAGCAAGUUACAAGGCAAGUGUGUCAGCAGUGCCAGCUCAGCUAACAGCUCAGCAGAUUAGUUAAAGAUGGUUGUAAGCAUGAUGUGCAUUGUACUGAAGUUAGUUAGCUUUGAUUACAGUUAGUCUUUGGAUUAGUUAAAUGAAGUUACCGUGAUUGCAUACAGGUGAUGCUUUGUAAAAAGGUUAAGCAAAAUAAAAAUCAAAGUUUGUUAAGGAAGUAUCUCCAGAAUUAUCAAUUCAUUUUCUUAGUAACCAAACAACUUUAUUUUCAUUUUCUUUCAAUAUGGAUAUCUGGGGUUUGUUUUGUCUUUUAGGAGCAGCAUUACCUGUCGAAAGUUCAAAGAGCUCACUGAACUUAAGCAUUCGGGGUUGAAAAUGGACGAGAUAUAUGCAGUGGAGUUCAUUGGAGGAGCUACUAUAGUGCCAAAGUUGCAGGUUUGCAAUAUCCGCUUUGUUUUGGUAGUUAGCCCGAGUAUUAAAUUCUUGAGGCGUGUAAGGUAGUGGACUUUAGCCAAUUCAAGAGUAGAAUAUAAUAUGUUUACUUGUUUUGAUCUUAAUCUUUAAUCACUUACCCUGAAUAAGAAAUAAUUUUUUAUAUUUGCUCUGCUAUGAUGUUAUUCGGUGUUAAUAGCUUCGUUUUAUUGCUCUUUUCCGCACAAAUUCUUGAUCUCAAAAGAACUUUUAUUUUGAAUAUUCUGCGUAAGGACAAUCUGAUUUAAUACCAUCAGUGAUUUUUCAUUUUUUCUCUUUAGUUUUAAUAUGUUUGAUAACUGUAUGGUUAAGCAAUCUAUGCAAUUUUAUCUUGUCGUAUGUUUGAGCUCAUUUUUUGUUGCACUUCUGAAUAUUUGGUAUUAAUUAUGUGAUAUCGGACAAUACUAUUAACUUGUUAAUUGCUUAAAUCUAAUAUCUUGUCAAAGUCACUAAUAGCAUUUCAUCAUGCAAUGAGUUAAACAUGGAACAAAUGAUGACAUGCGGUUGUGGAAUGUGUUAGAUCUCUGGGAUUCUAUGUCCUUAUGCUUGCAGGGCAACACAAUACAUU